CACAACCACUACGAAUGGGAAGAUUCCACAAGGUAAGAUGGUACCAUCACUCUUCAAUUAAGGUAACGUCUUAAGAUAUGUGACUAUCCCUUUUAUAAGCUCCUCCUUGGUUCUAGCGUUCACAUAAAUAAAGAGACAAACAUGUACGAUUUAUAACUCCAAAUUAACCAACCCAACUGAUUCAACAUGUUUAGUCCUUUAAUUUUUGUUCCUAGUACUACCACCAUGAUCCCACACUCCUAACCAUAUGAGCUAAAAAUGUUUCACACUCAAUCUUUGGAAGAUAUAUAAGAAAAAAACAUAUACAUAGAUAGAUUAUUUUCCCAUAAGGUUAAGCGACCUGAUCUGACAAAUGUUAUAAGUGCUACACUCAUGAACUUAUCACCCAUCAACUUUGCCUUGCUCCCUAUGCUUAAGGAUAGAGAAGAAUAAAUAUACUUUUGGUUCUGUUGGUGUUUUCCACCAACAGGGCCCAUACACUUGAUCUCUGCCUUGUCUCUAUGAGCAGGUACACUUCGAGCAAAACAUGGAGGAGUUUUAUAACUCUCAGACUCUACCAAGUGACCUGGAUCUACGAGCACAAACACAUUGAGUAGGAUGCUGCCAACGCCGCACAUCGAACUAUUGGGCAAACGAAGAACAUGGGUGACACCGUAUCAAGAGGUGCAGACGUCAAGGUCCACACCUGAAUCAAAUGACGCACCUAAAGAAUGAACACAGUGAGAAGUCUUGUCCAGAAGACAUAAAACAUUGAACCCUCACUGAAAGGUAAAAUCGGUAGUUAUCCAUAUUUAUCCUUUCUACAUUCCCUUUUCCGUUUAAUUAUUUACUUUUCUUAAAUGGCUUGUUAGUCAAUCAUGCUAUCUUGAAAAAAAAUAAAAAUGUUAGUAAGCCCCAUAUGAGUAUGCUCGUGGCAUAAAACCCAUAGGUACAUUCACUAUGGUGGCAUAAAAUAAAUAUGUUUUCAUACUAUAGAAAUAAAAAUAUAAAAAUAAAUUUAUGAUCCUACCAAAGAAGAGUAAUAUUUAUUAGAGGAAGCUCAAUAUGAUAAAGGCUAGAUAUUUAUGCUAACACUUAACCAGUUCCACAAAGCUUUGUUGUCUAUUUGAGCUCCACAGAAUUCAAGGAUCAAAGAAGACUAGCAAACGGAGGACAUCCUAAUCGCUGGCAGGGUGCUGCCGACAUUCAAAUAUACCUCCGUCACCUGCUAGCUACAUCAGAAGAAAUUACAACAAAAUCCAGCUUGGGGGAGAGCACCCCCAUUUAUCCAGCUAAGUGUCUCUACUUGUGUUUUUACUUUACUCAAAUAAUAAAAAGAUGCAUAAUCAUAAAAAACCAAAUAAAGAUUUUAUGCUUAUAUAUAUAUCUAUGCGUAGUUUGCUAAAUAAAUAAAUAAAUAAAGUUUGCUAUGAACCCUCAUGAUAAGCUCUCACAUGGAAAUGAUGAAUAGUUGCGCUGCCUAGUUCUCAAAAUUGAAUUUUCUCUCAAGUUUAGGUAUGACUGUUAUGAAUUAAGAUUUGCUCUAAACCUAAACUUGUGGGAAGAGUACUUGAUCUAAAGUCUAAGUCGUUAAUAGAUAUGAUAUGGGAAGGUUGAGUUGCUAUUUAUCUGUUCCUAGAGAUGCUAGAAUUCUGGAGAAUUUUAUCUUUGAAAAUCUUUAAAAAUUUGCAUGAUGAGUUCCUGUAUGAUGAGAGUUUAAAAUCCUACCACAGCCAUAUAUACAUGCUUGCUAGACUAUGAACCAUACAUUUACUUUUUACUGCUUAUGAUCAUUGAGUGUGGUCAAGCUGUGUAGACCCUUAGGAGCUUGUCAUGCGGUUAAAAUCAAGAUUCACUUGCACGUUCACUCAUACAUGCUGCUUCUACUCCGGAAGUACCAUCCACAUACAUCCACCCAUUUCCAUCUCCAGAACCACCUAAAAUUAUUCUACUCCUAUCCAGAAGAGAAUAGCCAAAAACAUUGUCCUAUCCAUGUUAUUCCCCGUGAAAUAAAUGCUCUUGAUAUUUUGGUUACUACCACUUGCUACACUAUUCUAGGAGGGUGAGUGCUCUGAAAAAAGAAAAAAAAUAGGAAAAGAACGAGGUAAUAAAAAGGGGCAAGUGCCCGAAACCUCGAAGAAAAGAAAAAGUGAGACGGGAGGUAAAAAUGGACAAGUGUCCGACAGUAGAAUUAGGGGUACAAGAUACCCACCUGAGAGAAAAGAAAGAGAAAAUAUAGAGCAUCUCAUUCCCCUCAAAAAGCUUCAAAGUGCAAGAAAGGUAUGUAUCCCCUCAAAAGAGCAAAAGUAGAAUUAGACUUUCACCAUUGUUUUCACCAUUAUCACCAUCAUCACCAUACACCAUUCAUUCACCACACAUGCACAUCUUGAUUUGAUUUAUUGACUUGUUUCUCUGGAUCCAUGGUUUGACUAUGCAAUAAAUGUCUUGUAAGUAUGUAUUAGCUGUCUCCCACCUAUGAGCUCCAGAUAUCAAACCUUAUUAGAGUAUGGUGAGAGAGAAGGCAAUAUCACUAUGCCUCAUACCACAAAUACUACAUACUUUGAGAGAAGGCGUAUAUCAUCACUGCCUUGGUAAGGAUCCAGAAAUACCACAAAAGAGAGAUUUGAGAGAGUCAUACAAGGAAUCUCUGAGUUUUAUUUUGAAAAUCUACAAAAACUCCAGAGCUAUAGUUGAUCAAAGAAUAAGAGACAUGGUUCUUGACUUGACCGUUCUAUCUUUUAACUGCUCAAGACACAAGUGACGGUUGCAAGCCCCAUGGUGGAAGGUAAUAUGAGUAAUUUUAAAUCUUAACAGUUUACCGUAACCCAGAGAUGAGAUUUUGUUUGAACGCAUGUGUACCUUUGUUGACGGUAUUUAUACCAUGUUUUCUACUAUCAUAACCGUCAACAUAAGACUCAUUUUGGGAGAAAACAACCAAACAAAGUAGUAAUAUAGGUACAUAUAACCUAGUUCCACAUGUACAUGCUACUAUUUGGUUGCAGGAGUAAGAACAGGUACUUUUCAAGGGUCCAAACACUAAGAAGGGGUGAAUAACUAAAGAUCAGUGACACCAGUAACCAAGACAACAUUAUAGUCAUGAAGAGGAAGACAUGUAGGACAGGGCUGACACCCUAACCCCAUAGAAUUGGGGUCGGGCGACCCCACUUUGGUGGGUCCCACAGGUCAGCUCAACUCCACCGACAUCAGAGAGCCUCCAGGACACUGCAGGUGGGCCCAACCAGCCAGAUAGGGGGUCGGCCGACCCCACUUCAUGGCGGUUCCAGGGUCGGUUGGCCUCCCACCGACCUUGCCCACAUGUUGCACAUGUUAGUUUGCCUCUACCGUUGAUCAGAUGGCGGUUGUGAAGUCGGUUUGAUCCAAUGGUGCAUGAUGAAGAUGACGCGGAUCGCUGACGUGGCACCGGAGUAGCCCCUACUCCAUCUCCCACUAUAAAUACCCCCCCUAUUCCUUCACUUAAAUGUCAUGUAUCUUAGGAGUAAACUACUUUAGUAGCUUAGUGCUAUCAUAGUGAGUAGAGAGUGAGGAGUUCCAAGGAGGAGUCCCGGCCUGUCGGGAGUCUUCUUCGCGGAGCACCUCAGCGGAAGCAGGUCUUCUUGUAAGUCUUACUUCUGAGUCUUUUCUAGUAUUUAAUAUUUGGUCUGGUACUUUAAGUAUAAGAAUCCUUUACUGGCACAUUGCUUGAUCUUGAGUGCUCUUAGCUUUAGCUAAGCUUAGGGUAGCAAGAGCUAGUUUAGACGUGGUGUCUAGACUACUUCUUGCCAGUGUGGACUCCUUGUCGCAGUUGUGUAGACACCUAGUGUGAGAGUGACAGUCCUCGCUAGGCGGAAAGCUCCUCGCAUCUGUUGUAGGCAAGUUGCAAAUAAUAGUUGGGCUGAGCAGGGUAGUCGCUUAGGAGACGGGGAGGUGAAAAAACUCGUUAACUCAAUCCUCCUUUUCGGGUAUCGCCCUCAGUAAAGAGUUAGGAGAAAAACCUUGACUAUACUUAAUUACCAAGACCAGGCAUUAAUACUAGUUGGACCUCUCUACCCCAUUAUCCUAGACCCUUUGAUCAUCACCUAAUGAUCUAAAGCCUAGUUAAUUCACUUCGCGUUCCCCAUGGAAAUCACGAUACCUGGAAUACUCCCGGUGAAGGCUACAUUGACUACCGUACGCUUGCGGUAUAACCGUUUGCCACUUCUGGUGUCAACAAGCUUUCUGGCGCCGUUGCCGGGGAACGGUAGCUGUUUUAACUAGGACAAAAAAAUCGUUAAGUUAUCUUUGUUUGAUUUAAAACUUUAUACACAUAUCCAAAUGGAUCAAACAACCCUCUUCGAUUACGCUGCUCCAACGGGCGCUGAGUUGGAGCCAGCGAGUUCAUCAAAAGCCAUUUUGGCCUGUCACUAUGAGCUUCGCCCGAGUCUCGUAGCGAUGGUUCAGGAGAAUCCCUUUUCGGGAGAAGGAGAUGAAAAUCCUUACACACACCUACGAGAUCUCGAACAACUUUGUUCAUGCAUCCACAUCCAAGGGAUGAGGCGAGUUACCCUCAAGUGGAAGCUCUUUCCGUUCUCUUUGACAGGAAAGGCCAGACGGUGGUACACUCGCUAUGCAGGUAGUGUAGGAGGAGAAUGGGAAAAGCUGCAAGCCAAAUUCUGCCUCACCUACUUUCCCAUCUCUAGAAUAGCUCGUCUCCGUAGAGAAGUCCUAGACUUCAAGCAAGAAGGGAAGGAGUCUCUAGGUGCGGCCUGGGCGCGUCUCACCGACUUAACAUCAUCUGGCCCAGACUUAGGUAUAACCGAGCCAAUUCUUAUGCAACAUUUUUACCUCGGACUUAGCCAACAAUCCGCACAAUUCCUUGAUUUAGCCUCUAAGGGAGCAUUCCUUCAUUUACCUAUCAGUGAAGGUAAGGCCAUUCUUGGGACUAUUCUCGAGAAUACCCCUUACACUGAUGAUCAUAUUGAAGCUCCUGAGGAAGAUCGAACUCCUAGGGAUGAACCUUCGACAGCCAAAACUCCUUUAGCCGCAACCCAAGCUGUCGAACCUGAACCAAUACCACAAGCACCUCCAAGGGAAGAAGUAAUUCAUCCCUUGGAUUACCCACUUAACAUCGAGACUGAUCUAUUUGCCGAUUUUGGCAAUGUCUCGAAUCAACCUGUGCAAAGGAGAUCUACAGCACGCAGAGCUCCGAAUAGCCAUAUCCCAGCUCAUCUUGAGGCUGGUUACCUCAGGGCAACUGCCCAAGAACUCACGGCUAUUAUGAGUAAUGAAUGGUUUAGAGAAGCUGAGACAUCAUCUGAUGUCAUCAAACUUCUCUCGAGUUUUACACCCAUUCCCUGUGUCAUAAACUCCACUCCUAUAGAAUCCCUUUAUGACCCUGCUGUAGGAGUAAGCCUAAUGUCCAAGACAUUAGUACUGACACUCCUAGGCGAGGAACCAUUAACCCCGACCAGCAAAUUUCUUAAAUUACCCUCUGGGGGAAUGGUCGAGAGUUGUGGGAUUGCACAGAAUAUUCCUGUCUCCAUUAACAAAGUCAACAUUCUGCUAAACUUCUUUAUCUUUGAUAUGAAAGAAGUUGACUUGUUAAUCGGGCACCCCAUCAUGAGGUUCCUAAAUGGAUUUCAUGAAGGGCGUUUCAAGGGUAACCUCGGGAAGGGCUUAGACCUUUCUAUGCCUUUUGCCGGCUCUAUUAAUUCUAAAGCCGAGACCCCGCCCGAGCCUGACCCAAUAAAGGAGGUGAUAUCGGCAUCUCUUCUGGACACUUCUCAGCCUGACUUAGAAGAAGACGCCGAAAACUUCAUCGAAGAAGAAGAGAACAAAUUAGAAGAACCAUUAGACUUGGAUGAAUCUAAACCACCACCAAAACCCUCUAUAGAACUUAAGCCACUUCCCUCUGGACUUAAGUACGCCUUCCUUAAUGGUGAUAGAGAGACUCCGGUAAUCAUUAGUGAUCAACUGACAGAAGAAGAAGUCACCAAACUCAUCACCGUCUUAGAAGAACGCCGCUCUGUCUUAGGAUACUCGUUAGAAGACCUUAAGGGAAUUAGUCCUGCACUCUGCACUCAUCGCAUCCCUAUCGAACCCGAUGCUAUACCUUCCAGGGAGCCUCAGAGAAGGCUAAAUAAUGCGAUGAGAGAAGUUGUGAAGAAAGAGGUCUUAAAACUAUUGCAUGUGGGCAUAAUCUACCCUGUUCCGAACAGUGAGUGGGUCAGCCCCGUUCAAGUAGUUCCUAAGAAAGGAGGAAUGACGGUCGUUAAAAAUGACAACAAUGAACUCAUUCCUCAACGGACCGUCACGGGAUGGAGAAUGUGCAUAGACUACCGAAAACUUAACAAGGCCACUAAGAAAGACCACUUUCCGUUGCCAUUCAUCGAUGAGAUGCUGGAACGGUUAGCCAAACACUCUUUCUUCUGCUUCCUUGAUGGGUAUUCGGGUUACCAUCAAAUCCCAAUCCAUCCCGACGACCAAAGUAAGACUACAUUCACAUGCCCCUACGGAACAUAUGCAUAUAGGCGCAUGUCUUUUGGCCUAUGCAAUGCUCCUGCCUCUUUUCAAAGGUGCAUGAUGUCCAUCUUCUCCGAUAUGAUCGAGGAAAUCAUGGAAGUUUUCAUGGACGACUUCUCCGUCUAUGGGAAAACUUUUGAUGAUUGCCUAAAGAACCUGGACCGAGUCUUACAAAGGUGCCAAGAGAAGCACUUGAUCUUGAACUGGGAAAAGUGCCAUUUUAUGGUUCGAGAAGGGAUAGUGUUAGGACAUAGAGUGUCCGAACGUGGGAUAGAGGUAGAUAGAGCUAAAAUUGAAGUUAUAGAAUAGCUCCCUCCUCCCACAAAUGUUAGGGGCGUCCGUAGCUUUCUUGGCCAUGCAGGCUUUUAUAGAAGGUUCAUACAAGAUUUCUCUCAAAUUGCUAGACCUUUAACAAACCUGUUAGCUAAGGAUGCACCCUUUGAUUUUAAUGAUGAGUGCUUGGAUUCCUUUUACUAUCUUAAGAAAGCACUUAUCUCUGCACCAAUCAUUCAACCCCCUGAUUGGUCGCUACCUUUUGAGAUAAUGUGUGAUGCUAGUGAUUACGCUGUAGGUGCUGUCUUAGGACAGACUAAAGAUAAGAAGCAUCAUGCAAUAUCUUAUGCUAGCAAAACACUAACAGGACCACAGCUGAAUUAUGCAACAACUGAAAAAGAACUGUUGGCUGUAGUGUUUGCUGUAGACAAGUUUAGAUCUUAUUUAGUUGAAGCAAAGGUGAUUGUUUACUCCGAUCACGCAGCUCUAAAAUACUUGCUCACUAAAAAAGAUGCUAAACCAAGAUUAAUAAGAUGGAUCCUACUACUCCAAGAAUUUGACUUAGAAAUUAGAGAUAAAAAGGGAGUAGAAAACUCGGUAGCCGAUCACUUGUCUAGGAUGCAAAUCGAGGAUAAACAGGAUCCACCUAUCAACGACUACCUUCGAGACGACACACUCCUCCGAGUUUCAGAAGCCUACCCAUGGUAUGCAAACAUAGUCAACUACCUGGCGUCGGGAUACAUACCACCUGGGGUAGACAAGAAGAAGCUUGUUAAAGAGAGUAGGGUGCACCUAUGGGACGAUCCUUACCUCUACAGAGUCUGUCAAGAUGGCAUACUCAGGAGAUGUGUUCCCAUGGACGAGGCAGUAAAAAUAAUGGAAAAAUGCCAUGGGGCAGAGUACGGAGGCCACUAUGGAGCAUUCAGGACCCAUGCCAAGAUAUGGCAGAGUGGAUUCUACUGGCCUACCAUGUACGAAGAUACAAAGAACUUCGUGAGGAGAUGUGCAAGGUGUCAGAAGCAUGGGAACAUCAAUACUCGUGAUGCAAUGCCACUCACAAACAACUUACAAGUCGAGAUAUUCGAUGCUUGGGGCAUAGACUACAUGGGGCCAUUCCCUUUGUCACAAGGGUGUGAGUACAUCCUAGUGGCAGUAGACUAUGUGUCCAAGUGGGUCGAAGCAAUGCCCUGCAGAGCAGCCGACUCUACACAUUCGAUAAAUAUGUUCAAGGAAGUCAUAUUUCCACGCUUCGGCACCCCCAGACUAGUUAUCAGUGAUGGAGGGAGCCACUUCAUUGACAGAAGAUUCCGACGGUUCUUAGCUGAAGUGGGGAUAAGGCACAACAUUGGAACACCCUAUCACCCUCAAACGAGCGGACAAGCAGAAACAUCUAACAAACAAAUCAAGAACAUUCUGCAGAAGACUGUCACUAAGAUGGGAACCGGCUGGAAAAGCCAUCUACCAGAUGCACUUUGGGCAUACAGGACCGCAUACAAGACCCCAAUUGGUAUGACACCAUACCAACUUGUAUACGGUAAGACAUGCCAUCUACCGGUAGAGCUAGAGCAUAGAGCUCACUGGGCAAUCAAGAAAUGGAACAUGGAUUUGCCCUCGGCCGGAAGAAAUAGAAAGCUCCAAAUCUCCGAACUAGAAGAAUGGAGAGAUAAAGCCUAUCACAAUGCCAGGAUCUACAAAGAGAGAACAAAAAGAUGGCAUGAUAAAAGGAUCAAGCAAAAGGAAUUUCAUCCUGGGGAUAAGGUUCUCAUGUUCAACUCAAGGGUCAAGUUAUUUGGCCAUGGAAAGCUAAGGAGCAAAUGGGAAGGACCAUUCUUCGUUGUUGACGCCGCGACUCAUGGAGCGGUAACACUGCGGGACGACGACGCCAACAUCUUUAAGGUAAAUGGUCAUCGUCUUAAAGUUUUCCAUGAACAUGAACCUUUAGAAAAAGAAGUUGAUAUGAUAGAAUUUGAAUCUGACAUAAAGUCUUAAAAUCCACAUGUCCUUCUUUUUACCUCCUUUUGUUAAAAAAAAAAAAAUUUUGCUAAACCAAUAUAUUUAGUUCCUUUUGUUUGGAAAUAGGUUUUAAAAGGGUUUUAGAUGAUGUAGGAUCGAAGUUGGGCCGCCGAACACCCCAAAUGGGGGUCGGCCGACCCCUCUUCUAGGGGUUUUGGCCCAAGGGGGAAUAGGUUUAGAAAGAGGGGAAUGAAUAGAGUUCGGUGGUGAAAUUCAAAAUCCUGAAAUAUAGGGGUCGCCCGACCCCCAAUAUUUUGAGUUUUGAAAUCCCCUGGAGUCUCGGAUCGUCCCUCAAACGUUCCACGACGCUCCUUUUCAAAAUUCAAACUCUCAGGCUCCAAACACAUCUAUUUAUCCCCCCUCUUCUUCUUCUUCCUCCCCUCAAUUCAUUCCUUCUCAUCUUCACCUCGAACCAGACUCUCCUAGCCUCCAUUCCUUGCCAAGAGAUCCAUCUCCAUGGCUCCUCCAACUAAAUCUUCCAACCAAGCCAUUCGCUCCAACUCCCCACGUCCGCAAAGGUCUCUAACUGAGAGCCUGGAGUUUGCCCUAGCCGUCAACGUGCUGGAGCCUGAACCACUAGCCAUGGUGCCGCCGGCUGGAGGGCCGACGGGCCCCAUGUGGGGGUCGCCCGACCCCAAGAGGGGUCGCCCGACCUCGCCCCGGGUGACCCAGCGCUCCGCGUCGGCCUCUCGUUCGCUCACACCGCGCAGGGGCAUCGGCAAGUCCCCUGCUCGAGCCGUAACGCCGGUUCGACCUACCACGGGCCAACUUACGCUGCGGGAGAAGGCGCCGAUGGCCACCAAGCAUGCCAUCACCAUCUCCUCCGACACGAUCCACACCUCUUCCUACUCGCCAUCCACCCCAACCUUUUGGAGGAACCACCAAGUGGUGGGCGGUGGGCCGGGAAAGGGGAAGGUGCUGAUCCCGCCGUUGAACUCUAAGGAAAAGAUGGAGUUGCGAGAGUCCUUUGACUCGUCAGCAAGUCCAUCCAUCCGGCGGAAGAUGGAUCCACCUCCGAUCAACGGUGCGCCUGGCAAAUACGAAGAAGAUCCAGAAAAAGGCGACAUCGAGAAGCUCCUGGAAGUCACAGCUAGCCUUAGAAAGAAAAAUAGGAUCUUAGAGGAGACAGUGUCGGAGCUCAGGAUGGAGAAUCUUGAGUUAGAAGAUCACUUCCGCCACCUGCGCAUUAGCACCAGCGCUAAAAUCAAGCGUUUGGCACAAGCAAUUGGGCGGGAGGAUCUCCUCAAACCUCCAUCUCCCUAAAUAAAUUAGUUAGUUUAGGUUAUAGGCACUAUUUGAUUAUUUAGGUUUGAUUACUCAAUUUUAUUUUCCAAUUUGUCACUUUGAAUUUCACAAUGUAAAAGUGCCUAUACAAUUGAAAUUUGAUUUAAUAGAGUUGUUUUUUGGUCCUGCUGGUGUGUUGCCACCAGCAGGACGUCUGCAUUUGAUCAUCUCUCUCUGUUGUAAGUUCAGCUGCACGAAAACUGCAAGUGUGGGGGGGUCGCCCGACCCCCCAACUUCAUCUCUGAACUGCCGUGAGCAUGGAACAACACUGCAUACACCUCGGCACGUCAUGGCACCAAAAACAGGCGCGAUGAGGGGGUCGCCCGACCCCCUUUCUAUGGCAAAAGGAAACGACACAAGUGCAGAAAGACUUCCCGAGGGACGUAGAAUCGAGUGGCAGGGCCAGGAACCUCCAGGUGGGGUCGGCCGACCCUUCCAUGGAGCCCUGGGCCCACCAGGCAGCUUCUAUACGACGAAAGACAUCUUUCCUGCCCGGUUUGCUAAUUCUUCCCCCUCUCAGUCUGUCCAAUUCUUUACCUUUGUGUCACAAUUAAAAUAAAAUUUGAUAGUUUAAACUUGUUUGCAAAAUAAAAAGUGAACUGGUACAUGAUUUAAGAGAAAUAGUGACAUAAAGUAUGGUUCUUACAAUUGUUCAUCCUCAUGGGUAAAAAUCUAUAGGAACCAUAUUGACUAAGUUGUUGAUGAAAGUGAUAUAACUCUUGGCUAAGAAUUCAUAACAUUUCUAUUCAAGGUACUUAGAGAUUUGUUUCAAAAAUAUCACAAAACCAUAGUAUCAUUUACUCCUCAUUAGCAAGAAAUUCCCACUAAAAGCCAUACACUUAGAUAUUCAAGUAACCAUUUUAUGAAAUACAACCUGCUUUUGUAAUGAGUUUUGUCAAAACCUUGUUGACCCUAGUGAGAGUUGUAUCAUAGUCACAAGAUCAAGAUCACGUACACACCACAUAUAUAUAUGCUGCUUCUACACUGGAAGUACGCAACCACAUGUAUUGUGCAUCCACUAAAUAGGUUGCUCCAUACUCUAAGUGUUAGAACACCUCUCUAAAUAUUGUUUAGAAAAUGAGACAUAAAAGGGCUUGGCAAAAUAAAAGAUAAAGAAAAGAUGGACAUGUGCAAGUCCAUGAAAAAAAAAAUUGAGCACAUAAAGCUCGAAGAAAAAGAAAAUCUAGCCAUGUCUCAAUAUACAGGUAGAGAGAGUGUAGUAAAUAAAGGAGCAACCUAGUCCACCAUAUAACACACUUGCACAUCUUGAUCUAUGACUAUGACACUCCUCUCUUUGGAUCCUUGUUUUUGACUUAACAAUAUUUGCAAAGUAGAGUAUGCUACCUUGUUUAUCCCUACCAAGCCCCAUAUAAGCCUAUAAUUAUAGGAUGAAACAAGUUGGCAUUCAUGCCUUGGUGAGGACUACUAAAAAAAACUUUGAGUGAUCUAAAGCGCUAAAUGAGGAGUAGGAUUGAACUAUGUGACUUAUUUUAAAAAGUGUCAUAAAAACUCUAAGUACCAAGAAUAUGAAAUUGGAAUUUGAUCUUGUUCUGAGAGUUGUUCCUUUUCUCAACCUCUGAAGGAUAUAUGCUAGACACUUACACAAAAACCCAUUUGGAUGAACUAUGUUCGAACUAGCAUUUUAUGCUCACCACUAUCUUAAGUUAGAAACCAUUGAUCACUCAUUUUUAACCUUUACUCGAGGACGAGCAAAGACUCAAGUGUGGGGGGUCUUGUUGACGGUAUUUAUACCAUGUUUUCUACUAUCAUAACCGUCAACAUAAGACUCAUUUUGGGAGAAAACAACCAAACAAAGUAGUAAUAUAGGUACAUAUAACCUAGUUCCACAUGUACAUGCUACUAUUUGGUUGCAGGAGUAAGAACAGGUACUUUUCAAGGGUCCAAACACUAAGAAGGGGUGAAUAACUAAAGAUCAGUGACACCAGUAACCAAGACAACAUUAUAGUCAUGAAGAGGAAGACAUGUAGGACAGGGCUGACACCCUAACCCCAUAGAAUUGGGGUCAGGCGACCCCACUUUGGUGGGUCCCACAGGUCAGCUCAACUCCACCGACAUCAGAGAGCCUCCAGGACACUGCAGGUGGGCCCAACCAGCCAGAUAGGGGGUCGGCCGACCCCACUUCAUGGCGGUUCUAGGGUCGGUUGGCCUCCCACCGACCUUGCCCACAUGUUGCACAUGUUAGUUUGCCUCUACCGUUGAUCAGAUGGCGGUUGUGAAGUCGGUUUGAUCCAAUGGUGCAUGAUGAAGAUGACGCGGAUCGCUGACGUGGCACCGGAGUAGCCCCUACUCCAUCUCCCACUAUAAAUACCCCCCCUAUUCCUUCACUUAAAUGUCAUGUAUCUUAGGAGUAAACUACUUUAGUAGCUUAGUGCUAUCAUAGUGAGUAGAGAGUGAGGAGUUCCAAGGAGGAGUCCCGGCCUGUCGGGAGUCUUCUUCGCGGAGCACCUCAGCGGAAGCAGGUCUUCUUGUAAGUCUUACUUCUGAGUCUUUUCUAGUAUUUAAUAUUUGGUCUGGUACUUUAAGUAUAAGAAUCCUUUACUGGCACAUUGCUUGAUCUUGAGUGCUCUUAGCUUUAGCUAAGCUUAGGGUAGCAAGAGCUAGUUUAGACGUGGUGUCUAGACUACUUCUUGCCAGUGUGGACUCCUUGUCGCAGUUGUGUAGACACCUAGUGUGAGAGUGACAGUCCUCGCUAGGCGGAAAGCUCCUCGCAUCUGUUGUAGGCAAGUUGCAAAUAAUAGUUGGGCUGAGCAGGGUAGUCGCUUAGGAGACGGGGAGGUGAAAAACCUCGUUAACUCAAUCCUCCUUUUCGGGUAUCGCCCUCAGUAAAGAGUUAGGAGAAAAACCUUGACUAUACUUAAUUACCAAGACCAGGCAUUAAUACUAGUUGGACCUCUCUACCCCAUUAUCCUAGACCCUUUGAUCAUCACCUAACGAUCUAAAGCCUAGUUAAUUCACUUCGCGUUCCCCGUGGAAAUCACGAUACCUGGAAUACUCCCGGUGAAGGCUACAUUGACUACCGUACGCUUGCGGUAUAACCGUUUGCCACUUCUGGUGUCAACAACCUUUAAGGCAUAAAACCACUGAAGAAACUCUUGAGUCCAUCCUUGCUCAGGGACGAGCAAGAGGUAAGCUUGGGGGAGUUGUUGACGGUCCAUAAGUACUAAAUAUAACCAUCAAAUAAAUAAAGAAAAGGAUCCAAAUGCAACCAACACCCAGACUUAGGGUUUUAUCUGACAGAAUUCCACAAGUUUUGGUGUUUGUCUAUUUCUGUAGGGGGUUAUCAGGAAAUAUGGAGAGAAGGCCCACACGUCGGGUUUACAUAGAGAUAUUAAUGUGCCGUGCAAUUUUCUAUCAUCUAGAAGACUCCAGAAGCCACGGGAACGAACGGGAGGCCGAGCGGGCUCAGGGGCAGGGCGCCCGCCUACCCCCCUUGGGCGCCCGCCCAGCUAUAGAGUCCAAUCAGGACUCUCUUCUGGAAUUAUGCUCCACCAACCUAAAGGAUCAAGGAUAACCGUUCAAUCAAUGUCGGUUUGAUCUGAUGGCCCAAAUUCACUUGAGGGGACUAUAUAAGCAGACCCCAUGGCCCCUGGAGGAGGCACCCGUUGAUCAUUAUUCAUUAUUCAUAGACAGAGCAAAAGCUAGGGUUUGGAGAUGAGAGCUCUCCUCUCUUCUCUAAACUAGAGUAGAUCUAGAUAGUAGCGAGAUGGAGAGCGAAGGAGGAUUAGAGGAGAGGCCGGCCUGUCAGUUCUUCCUCCGGUUGUACUUCACCAUGAUCAAGCUCUAAUCAAGCUUGCUCAUGGGAUGAGUCUGGUAAUCUACUUCUAAUUCAUUAUGCAAUUACUAAUCAUGUAUGUUCUGGUUCACAACUCUUUUGAGUACUUCUAAUCUAUAGGACACUAUAGGUGAGAGUUGUAGUAUAGGUGUAAGCGUGGUGCUUAGACCUAGAUUACUUGUGGAUAUCCCCUGUCUAGCUGGAUCGUGUGGUAGGCCGCGUAGGUGACAGUUACGUUGGUCCCCUGUAGUCCACCUCUUGUUAGCAGGACAGGUAGGGUUUAUCGGCCUAUGGAUAAGCAUCCUUUGUGGUGUAUUCUUAUCACGUGGUUCGUCCCAGACAUAGACAUACCCCUUUGAAGUAGAGAAACCAUAGUUAUCCUCUCUAUUCUGCUGCCAUCACCCGUAUAUUAGAUUGCUCUACUCUCUAUCCCCAUAUUAUCACCCAUUGUUAUCUUACCUUUAAAAUUGUUCUUAUUCAAUUCUACCCUCUUUCCUAUUUACACUUAUCUAUUUAUCUUGGUUAAGUUAGAGCGUAGUUGGUUCUCCCGUUUCCCUGUGGAUACGAUAAAACCUUUAACCGGGAAAAAGCUACAAUGGUAUCCGUGCGCUUGCGGAUUUAUCUGUGUGCGUAUAAAUACCAUAGUACACUCUAGUGCCAUGCUGGGGAUGACAACUAGUAUUCAAGUGGUGUUAGCAAGUGUCAACAAUGCCCAACAAGCAUUUUUGGCGCCAUUGCCGGGGAAGGUUGAUUUACUAAUAGGAAUGAAUAAGAAAUAAUGAGUCAUCAUUCACAUCACUAAUAUGAUUGAUAUCAUCAAUUAUCUUAUACAGCUUUACCCCUAUACUUUGCUAAUUUUUUAUUAUUUUAUGUAGGGUGAUGUAUGAAUAGAAGAGAUCUUCCAGAUAAUUUCGUUGACAUCCCCAAAUCAAUAAUCAGGAAAACAAGAGCCAAGCUCAAGAAAGUUAGAUCGUCAACACUUCAGUGUAAAGCUCCAUCAAAUCAAGAAGAUCACCAAAGUUUCAUUCACAACUUGACAUCAGAGUUCGAAGCCAUGGCGAACAAGUCAAUCUGUGAGUUCUCAGCUCCCACCACGGACAACAUCCACACUAGACCUGCUGUAGACGUUGACCGGACAUUUGAGCUCAAGCCUAGGCUCAUCAACAUGGUGCAAGCAAAUCAGUUCUGUGGGAAGGCACAUGAAGAUGCUAGUGCUCAUCUCCAACACUUCCUAGAGAUUUGCACCACGUUCACCAUUCAAGACGUUCCCAGAGACGCCAUACUACUUCGCCUCUUCCCAUUCUCACGACUGGGGAGAGCGAAGCAGUGGUUCUACGCAACAAAGGAGAAGAAUACUACGUGGGCACUCUCGUCCACCAACUUUCUGGCCAAGUUCUUUCCCAUGGGCAAGACCAAUGCUCUCUGUGGGAAGAUUACAAGUUUUCAGCAUGGGAGCACUUCCAAGACUACAUCCUAGAAUGUCCCCAUCAUCAAAUGGAGAGUUAGCUACUCAUGCAGACUUUUUAUCAUGGGCUCGGCAACAGCACCCGUGAAACCAUGGAUGCUGCAGCCGGAGGAGCAUUCUUGUCACUGACCAUACCACAAGCUUCAGCUCUUGUGGAGAAGAUGGCAUCCAACCAAGGUUCGAACGAAGAAAGAACUCAGACACGCAAGAAGGGUGGAGGUAUGCACCAGCUCAAGAAGGUAGACUUGUUGUCUUCAAAGCUAGACCUGCUCAUGAAGAAGCUCGAUGAUGAAGCUGAAAACAAGAAAGAAGUCAUGCACGUCUACGACACUCACAUGACUUGUGAGGAGUGUGGAGAUACUGGACACUCAGGCAAUCACUGCCCUGAGAUGUUUGAGGACAUGAACUACAUCAUCAACAACAAUAACGACAACUACUACAACCGUCCUCAACUAAAUCAAGGUUGGAAUCAACAAAGGCCUAACUACUCAGGUAACUACUCAGGUAAUUAUCAAGGUAACAAUUCCUACAACAACAAUAAUAAUUUCCCAUCCCUGAGAGAGUUAGUAUCUAAUCAAGGAAAGCUAAUGGAUAAUUUGUCUAAGAAAUUAGCAUCUAAUGAUAAAAUGCUAGAAAAUAUAAAUAAUAGAAUGGAUAAUUUUUCUACUGCCAUCAAAAAUCAAAUUAGCUUUAAUAAAAUGAUUGAAUCUUAGUUGAAUCAAAUAGUUGCUGCUCUUCCUGCUACUAACCCCGGUAUACCAUCACAACUGGAAGGGCUAGAAUCUGCAAAUCUUAUAGACAUGUUUGAAGCAGGUAACUACUAGAUUAGCCCCAUAGGAGGAAGACAUAAUGACCUUCUACCAGUCAAGAGAGGCGAACCAGGACGCCCUGUCAUCCCAAUUUCCAUCGGCAUGCUGGACUUCCUAGAAGCACUCUGUGACUUUGGCUCAAGUGUCAACGUCAUGCCUAGGGUACUCUAUGAAAAAUUCAUUACUAAUCCUUUAUCGGAUACAACCAUGUGUUUGCAGCUUGCAGAUCGGACACUGAGCUUUCCAAAAGGAAUAUUGAAAAACAUAUGUGUCUGAGUUGGUACCUCGUACAUCCUAGCAGACUUCAUAGUGAUCGAGACCGGUGUUGAUGAGAGGUCACCCAUCAUUCUGGGGAGGCCAUUCCUAAACACCUCGGGAGCUAUCAUCUAUGCUAGUGCUGCAAAGAUCAAUUUCAACAUCAAGGGGAGGACGGAGAUGUUUUCCUUCAAGAACAAGACUGCACAAAUCCCAGACCAACCUCAAUAUGAACCAAGGAAGAGGACCAACAGGAGGAACAAGCAGAAUAGGAACAAGCAACAUGUAUGAACAGAAUCAACCAAGAUGGUCACUGCAAUUCACAGAGGUCAAGAUCGUCGACUCAAGUCACCUUUCCUGAUCAAGAAGGACGACCCAUGUGUUCCAAGCAUUGAAUGCACAAUCAAUGGAUAUUCCUUCCACAAGACAAUCUGCGACACCAGAUCGAGUGUCAACAUAAUGGCCGCAGUCAUCUAUCAACUCCUGUACGGAACCAUGCCCCUACAACCAACAUACACUCAGCUCCAGAUGGUAGACCAGACAUUUCACAAAGUCAAAGGUAUAGUAACUGAUGUCCCUGUCAAAAUCAACGACCAUUUUAUUUUGAUAGAUUUCCAAGUCAUUGACAUGAGAGAAGAUGAGUAUGAUCCACCCAUCAUCCUUGGAAGACCGUUCCUCAGCACCAUUAAAGCCAUCAUCUACAUUGGAACAGGAGAAGUCCACAUGCACUUUCCCUCUGAGAAGGUACGUUGUUACUUUAAUGAUUCUAACUAUAUAUUUGAAGAUUCUAAGCAGACCAGGAUGAGAAGAAGACGAUGCAAUUGCAACCAGAGGAGGCAAAUCAUCAAGGAUGGAUGGGCGGACUAUGGAGGAGAGGUAAUAAGAUCUGAAGAUAUAUAUCUUGAAUAGGUUUAUCCUAAGGAGACCGUAGCAGCAAACCAAGUAUGGAAAGAGAAAAGAGUUGUAAUAGAAGAGGGGGCGUCGCCGGAACCACCGUCUACACCAUCCAAUGAACCUCAGGAUGACUAAGGACAUAAGCAGUCCUAUUCGGAGGACUUAAAAGCACUGAAAUCCAUGCCAAGAGGUAAACUUGGUAGUUAUCACUUUCUCUUUUAUUAUUUACUUUUCUUAAAUAAGCUUGUUUAGUUAAUCAUGUUCAUACUACCCUGAAAGGAAAAUAAAAAUGUUAAAAAUGACAAAGCCCCAUGUGAGUAUGCUAGUGGCAUAAAACCCAUAAGUACAUUCACUCUGGUGGAAUAAAAAUAAAAUAAAUAUGUUCUUGUUCUAUAAAAAUGAAAAUGUAAAAAUAAGUUUAUGAUUCUACCAAAGAGAAUAACAUUUCUUGAGGAAGCUCAACAUGAUAAAGGGCUAGAGAUUUACAGUAACACUUAACCAGUUCCACAAAGCUUUUUGUCUAUUUGAGCUCCAUAGAAUUCAAUGAUCAAGAAGACUAGCAGACGGAGGACAUCCUAAUCACUGUGAGGGUGCUAUUGACAUUCAAAUACACCUCUGCCACCUGCUAGCCACAACAAAAAAAAAUUACGUCAAAAUUUAGCUUGGGGGAGAGCACCCCCAUUUAUCCAACUAAGUGUUUCUACUCGCGUUUAUACUUUACUCAAAUAAUAAAAAGAUGCAUAAUUAUGAAAACCAAAAUAAAGAUUUUGUGCUUAUUAUAUAUAAAUAUAUCUUGCUUAGUUUGCUAAAUAAAUAAAUAAAGCGGCUAUGCUAAACUAAAUCUUAAUAAUAAACUCUUACAUGGCUAUGAUGAAUAGUUUCUCUGACAAGUACCUAGUUUUCAAAUUUGAGCUCUCUCUCUCAGGUUUAGGCAUAACUGUUAUAAUUUAAAGCUCACUCUAAACCUGAACUUGUGGGAAGAGUACUUGAUCUAAAGUCUAAGUCGUUAGCGGAUAUGAUAUGGGAAGGUUGAGCUGCUGUUUAUCUGUUCCUAGAAAUGCUAGAAUUCUGGAGAAUUUCUUCUUUGAAAAUCUUUAAAAUGUUGCAUGAUGAGUUUUUGUAUGAUGAGAGUUUAAAUUUUCUACCACAACCAUAUAUACAUGCUUACUAGAUUAAGAGCCACUCAUUUAUUUUUACUGCUUAUGAGCAUUGAGUAUGGUCAAGCUAUGUAGACCCUUAGGAGCUUGUUGUCGGUGUUUUCCCCACGGGGGGUCACACCAACGAGUGAAUUUGUAUGCGUGCUUCCCUUUCCUAGACGGUGAAGCAAAAAGACACAAGGAUUUAUCCUGGUUCGGGCAAGAGAAGGCCCUACGUCCAGCGGGGGAGAGAGUUUGUAUUAUUUUGCACCUAAGUGCUUGUACAAGGGUGAAUACAAGCGUGGUAUGGAGUAUGGAAGUUCUACUACGUAUGGGUGUGGUGUUGCGUGUGUCAUAUAGUUGAUGUCCCCCUGAUUCCGCUCCUGGGCUUCCCCUUUUAUAGUUCCAAGGAGAAGCCCAAGGUACAAGUAUAGGUGUCAGAGUAGGGGUCGAUAGAGGCAUGGCGCGCGGACCUACUCGAGGCCUCUGUACCGGCGUGGUCUCAAGCCGUCCCGUCCUGGUAGCUUGAUGAUGAUUACGCGUGCCCUGGAAUCCUGCUCUGCGCGCCGUCUUGGACUGGUUCAUUGGUGGCACGCCGGUACGAUACAGCGGCGGAUCCGUCGGAGUGGUUGCUUUAUUGCCGUUCGACACCCAACCCUUUCCCUAGAAGGAAAUGGGUCUGGUCGAGGGUCGGCCGCCGUGUAGCGCUUCGCUGUCCAGAGCGUUGACCCUGGAUGUCUCGAGGGGGUCCUGAUUAGACGUUCCAUCCCUGCUUCCCGUGUCCUGACACGCUCUGGGUCGUUUGGUGGGGAAGGCUGCAAAAAGAAUGACGGGACGGAUGCCUGUUCCCUAUCACGCUUCCCGUGACUGGCGUGUUAGGUGAGAAUGCGACAGGCGUAUUAAAUGCCCUGGUUCCCGUGCGCGCGUCAGGCGGCAGGCGGCGUCCUUGCGCUCGACGCCUCCUGGUUCGCUCGAGCCUAUUUUCGUAUUCGACGGAGCGGCGCUCGAGCCCUGAUCGAUUCGCUCGACGCCUUUUCCGUCUUUGAGGCUACGGUUGUCGAUGACUGUAUGUAUGACUGGCUAGAGCGUCGAGUUGAGGGCCUCGACCUGCGUACGGGUAAUCUCAUCAUGUGUAUUAGUUAGGAUACCCCUUACUGAUACCCUCGAUAGUAGCCCCUGAGUCUCCUUUUGAGCGCUGGCGCUCAAGUGGAGGCUUUAUUUUGCGGUCGAAUCUCCGUGGGGGCGCGUGAGCGACCCCGCGGGGGUAGCCCCCGAGCCCUUGGAGGAGUUUUUGACUCCUUCGAGGGUUAUGUUGCCUAACUCGCAGAAACGCUGUCGACACCAGUGGUGGAAGCUUCUGAUUGGCUCGCUUUGCGCGGGGGUUCCGACGUACUCUCGAUAGAGCGAGCGUCAUCCACCCCAAAUUGAGCUCCUAACGGGUAGUCCAAGUGAGAACCUGUGCCCCUUUUGAGGGGGUCAGCUGUAGCCCGGAGGCGUUCUCAUAAAGCGGGGUCGACGUGGUCGGGGAUACUAGUCUCGAUCGAUAGAGUCUAGCGGCUCGAUGCCUCCCAUCGGGGGGAUUCCUCUCGACUGUCUCGACCCUACCUUGGACAUCCCCAGUGAGUUCUCGAGGCAGGCCUCGGUUCUCGACCACUCGCUGGGCAUCCCUGACUCUAGCGCUCGAGAUCGGCUGUCAAACCCUUCCGGUGGGCCAGCUUGCGACCUCUCGAGGCUUCUGUGGGUGUGUUCCUUGGCUUACAAGGGAAGGGAUAAGUCGUGGCGGUUCGCCUUUCUGCCCGUUGGGCGCGUCUUUUCAGGCAUGAUCCGUUGCGGCACUGUACCGGCGUAGAAUUCGGAGCACCCCGUCUGUGAGGAGGAAAAGGACCGUUGGGCGGCGCAUUUACGGGGGGGAGUUACCUCAUUUAUCGGAUCUGUCCACUGGUGGGUUGUUGUCUAUAAAUAUCCCACGGCGUCGCCGGCAUUCUUCCUUCCGCCUUCCACCUUCUUGCCUUUGCUCCCUCGCCUCAGCUCCCUCGUCAUCUCACGCGCACGUACCCUCGAGUGGCAGCAAAACCGCCUUCUGUUCGCCCAAGAUGCCUGUGAGACUCAUCGCCGCUGACGACUGGCGCCUGUCGUCGAUGACGGAGCGCCGGUUGCUGGAGCUCGAGAGGGAGGGACUCCUGCGCCACCGCACAUCGCUGUCAUCGCCGAAGUGGAUCGCACCGGCGGCGGACCACCGUGAGCCCAGGCCGCCCAAGGGCUACGUGGUUUCGUUCGCCAAGUUCCACCGACACGGCCUGGGCGCUCCUCCGAGCUGCUUCAUGCGGGCGCUCUGCCACUAUUACGGGGUGGAGCUUCAGCACUUCUCCCCAAAUGCCAUCACCGUCGCGGCGGUCUUCGCCGCGGUGUGUGAGGGCUAUUUGGGGAUGAUGCCCUACUGGGAGCUGUGGCUCCACAUCUACAGGGGCGAGCUCUUCAAUGCCCCCACCGGGACCACUGGCGUGAGGAAGCCUGUGCGGGCGGGAUGCCUCAAGCUCGUGCUGAAGACGGGGAAGACCGAGAGGCCGCGCGAGUACAUCCCGGUGGGAUUGUCGACGAAUCACGCCGGCUAGGACUCCUAAUGGUUCUAUCUGCGGAAUGACGACGAUCUCCUACCCGCCUACACCGGUCGCCUGAUCACGGAGCGUCCGGCGGACUGGACAUACGGCGUCGUCCAAGCCCAUCAGUCCCGGCUUGACCCCCUCCUCGACACCUUGAAGAAGCUACGCUUGGAGGGCCUGUCCGCCACUCUCGUCCUCUCGACCGUCCAUCGUCGAAGGGUUCUCCCGCUAAUGUCUCGGCCGCUGAGGAUGGAUGAGAUGAGACCCGGUGUUUCGUCCCAGGACCUCGAGGCAUGCCGGAUGUCGAACGAGGCCCUGGCGGACGACGAAGCUGCGGCCCGGGUUAGGGCGGCCAUUGCCGGCGAGUUCAAGCCGGAGCACGUCAACGGAUUCCCCAUGAGGCCCGAUGCGGGCUCGAUUGACCUGGUACGUUCCUUUCUUGUACAUGGCUCUGAUUCUUGACUUCUUUCGAACUCUCUUUAAACUUGCUUUUGUUCUGGCAGGGACAAAUCGAUGUCCGGUCCUCGAGGCCUCCUGUAAAGGAGGAUGAGGUCGAUCGUGACAAACGGUGCCGGUCCGCCGAGAAACAAAAGGCUGCCAAGGACUCGGAGGGGAAGGAGGACAAGAAGAAGAAUCUCGACCGCCAAGCGUUAGAGGCGCGUCAAGCUAAGUCCAGGCAAAGGGGGGAGCCUGAGGAAGAAUCCCACAGUGAGGAUGAUGGCGGAGACGGCGAUGACGACAGCGAUGACUCCGAGGGGAUGGCGUCACGCCUUGACCGGAUCCUCGAGGGUCCACCUCGAGGCGACGUUGACGCCCCGCGGACAGGAGCGCCGAAAGAGGGCCCAAGCGGAUCUCAUCACUCCCGCGCCAUCACCCCUCCCGUGCCUGCGCCAAGUCGGGCCGUCCCACACCAUCAACCUCCCCCCGCGCCUAAGACGGGUGGCCGUUGACCCGCGGUCACGCCGCAGCCUCUAAGAAGGGAGAGGCCGGCCGCAGGAGCGCCAGUCCUGGCGCUCGCCCGGCGGGAGACGCUGGGCCAAGACCAGCACCUAUCCUCGAGGGUCCUGGAGCCUUGACGCAUGGUGGCUCGAGGCCCACCGGUCGAGGUACCGGCAGGCGAGCCGUUCUCCCUGUGUGGUAAGUCCUUCGACGCUGAAGUUCUUAUUUUCUUGAUUCUUCGCGUUUUCUUUUAUAACGGUCUUUUUUUACGCUCGUUCCUCUUUCCUCAGAUUGAAGCGGACGCUUGAGCAGGCCCAGCCUUCGAUGGCGAAGAGUCUCAAGGUGGGAGCAGCCUCCAAGGAGCCAGGUCAGUAGCUUAUUCAUGGGAUUUGUGUUGUUCUUACGUUGGUCAUCAUAGUGACUGACCUUUGUUUUUCGUUUUAUAGGCUCCUCCGACCCUCAACUGCCGACCGGCACCAAGAUCGCCCCACCCCAUCCCCUGGCGGGUGAGCCUACCCCGUCGUUGCCAAAACAAGCCGAGGUGCCUCGGCCCCAAGGGCAGGAGAGAGCCCCCGAGCCUCCCCGAUCAGGGGUCGAGGGGGAUCCCAUUACUAUUAGUGAUGGAUCUGGCGGCGACGGGACCUCGAGGGAUGCCAAUCCUAUGGACGAGGGGGCCCAGACUUCCCUCGUCGUGAGACGGACGCCCUGGCCUGCCGGGCUUCGCUCCAUCGAGGAGCAGAAGAAGAAAGAAGAGGAGGAGCACGAGCAGGAGACGCGGCGGCAGCUGCAGGAGCAGGACCGCCAACAAGAGCCGUAGGAGCUCGAGGAGCAGCAGCAGCAGCAGGGGGGCCAGCCGUUGGAGGAACCGCUCGAGCCUCCUCCUCACAGUCCACCCCAACCAGUACCACCGGCGCCGCAAGAGCCCGGGGACCAGGAAGAGGGUCUGCCGGUUUUCGGCCCUCCAACCCCAGCGUGGCUCCGUCCAGGGGUGCCCGCCGCGAUCCCAGCAGAGUCGGGGCGGGCGGACGGUGUGGUAGCGCUCGCCUGUAUGAUGCGCACCCCUGUCGACUCUGAUUCCGAGAUCAAGAGGACGAUCUACGGCAUGGACGGAAUCGCCCUGGGAUUCCUCUAGGAGCGUCGGGCGUGGGAGGACUGUAUUCCCGCGGUGGAAGACGAGGCUGGGACGUCGGGCGGAGGCGGAAGCAGUGAAACAGGAACCUGGAAGACGGUGGACGACGACGGGCGGUUCCCCUCCCUCGUCGACUCGUUCCUGCGCCAUGGGGGAUCCCUCGAGACCGUCGAGGACCUCAUUCGCGGCGACAAGGCGCGGGCUGACCAGGAGAUGGAGAACUGGUGCCCCGAUCGGAUCCACAUCCGGGCUUCCACCGAUCCGUCCGAGCCCAACAUCUUCCUGGACGAUCGGAAGGAGGCUGAGAAGUGAGAGCACGUCGAGGAGCUCCGCCUCUAGAUGAAGCACGUGGUGGGGCUCCUGUCGGACGUCGUAAAUAACGGGCUCGGGCCGGCCUACUUCGUAAGUGUUUUUCGGUCCUUAAUCCUUAUAGAGCUUUUGGUUUUGUGUUCUAACUGCUUGACCACCGGCUCGCAGGACCUGAAAGAGACCUCCCGUAUCAAAUCGAGCUUCAUCCAUGCCACGAGAGGCAGCUGGGAGCAGCUCCCCAUCCUCAAGGACCAACUCCUGGAGUCGUAGGAGAAACUCCUCAAGGCUUAUAAGGAGCUCUUGGUGCUUGAGGAGGAGAAGGAGAGGGAGGCUACCCUGGCCGAGGCUCGAGAGGCCUCAAAGAAGGCUAUCGAAGAGGCCGUGCUGCUGAGGGAGCGGGCUCUGAUGGUCGAGGAGGCUACGUCCAAAGCCCGGGAGGAGGCCUUGUCCUACAAGAACGUCGUUGCUGAUCUGGACAAGGAGAAGGGCCUCCUCAAGACUGACCUGGACUCCCUUCGAGAAUCCUUCCAGAGGAUGAAGGUGGAGUAUGUGAACAGCGAGAUCGCCAGGAGCGCCACGGAAGAAGCCAAGAAGAAGGCCCUCGAAGACCUCGAGGCGGAGCGGGCUCGAUCCCGCAGCCUCUCCGACGACAUCGAUCGUCUGAAGGCAGAGCUGCUGGAGAAGAAUGGAGCCAUUGCUCAGGCUGGCAAGGUGAUCGAAUUUCUGCAUGUUGCCAACACUGAGCUGGCACGCUCUAACAGAGAGAUCGAGAGGGCCAACACCAAAUUAGUUGUCGAGAACACAGCUCUGGAGGAGAGUGUCCGCGGUAUGUUUCUAUUGUCGAGUUUUCUUUUCGAGAUGUGCUUAGUUUUAUCUAAAGCUUUUUGCGUUGGCAUUCACAGGGCUUAAAGACGAGCUCUUGGCCGCCCAAGUUGAGGCUCGCAAUGCCAAAGCCCAGCUCGAGGGGGAGGUUGCUUUGAACCGUCGACUGCGGACGGCGAUAAGUGAUCUCUCGACCUCUUGGGAGGUCGAGCCCGUGGACGAGUCGAAGGAGGAAGCUCGAGGCAACGCACUGGUCGAUCAGCUGUGCUACUUAGGCGCGACGCUGAGGGAUCGGGUGCGAGACGCUCUCCACAUCGGGGUGAAGCGGACAAUGGCCGUUGUCUGCUCAGGCUUCUCCUACGACAUGGAGUUGGUGUCCCACGGCUUCGUCACCGACAUCUCCAAGACUGACGCGGAGAACGAAGGAUGGCUCCACGCCUUGAUCGACGACGCAGAGGUUCCUGGAGAGAGGUUGGCUAGGCUGUUCGAGCCAGAGGUACUGCCUCCUGAGACUAGCUCAGGCGCAGGUGAGGGUGGUGAGGACCGUGAUGCGGACUGAGGCCUGCGAGCCUACUCUGGGUGCCUAGGAUCCUUUGUAUAGUACUUUGCUACUCUAUCUUUAAGUAGUAUGAUGUCUUUUAAAUGUUUAUCUGUCUUUCCGCUCGAGGCUCCUUUAUUUCUUUUUGCGCCUAUGUUUGUUUUUUUCUCGCUCGGUCUUUUGUUUAAGGCGGUCUCGAUUGCCUUAAGGGUGAGGAGGCGAGUAGAGUUUUCGUAGCCCGGGGGGGUAGGAGACCUCAGGCUCGUCGUUUCUCGGCCCUUAAGGGGUUCGAGGUACCUUUACUACUCACCCCCCCGAGAUUACUGAUGGGAACGAAAGGAUUACUUGGUUUUUUCGACCCCCGGGGGGGGGGGGGGGGUUGCCCCCCUGCUAGCCCCCGAGGGGGUAUCGACUAUGAUAGGUCACAGUCGGUACCCCCUUCUAAUCGUGGAGAUUUUGACUCGUGAAAAAGUAAAUUGCUCUAGGGAAAGACUUUAUUUAUUCAUGCAUUCAUUUACAAAACCUCGAUACAGAAUGUACGUGGGAACAUAAAGCUUUGAAAUUCUAGGGGUAGAAUCGACGUAGCUGUUCGAUGUUCCACGCGUUGGUGAAGAUCGCCCCCUUUUUGUCUGCGAGCUUGUAUGUUCCCGGUUUCAAGACCUCGGCCACCACGUAUAGGCCUUCACAAGGUGGAGUCAGCUUGUGGCGUCCUUGAUUACUUUGCCGCCGUCGUAGGACGAGGUCGCCCACGUUCAGGUCCCUCUUGCGCAUGUGCUUGUCGUGGUAGCGUCGGAGCUUCUGCUGGUGUCUGGCGGAGUUGAGGAGGGCCAUGUCUCGAGCUUCCUCGAGCUGGUCGACCGCUUUCUCUUGAGUCUCCUUAUUUGAUUGCUCGUUGUAUGCUUUAAGUCGAGGGGACCCAUACUCGAGAUCUGUCGGGAGCACUGCCUCAGAGCCAUAGACCAUGAAGAAUGGGGUGUAUUUUGUGGCCCUGCUUGGCGUAGUCCUUAAGCUCCACAGGACUGAGGAAAGCUCCUCAACCCAUUUCUUGCCGAAUUUCUUCAAGCGAUUGUAAAUUCUUGGUUUGAGCCCCUGCAAAAUCAUGCCGUUGGCACGCUCGACCAGGCCGUUAGUUCGAGGGUGGGCAACUGCAGACCAGUUCACAUGUAUGUGAUGCUGAUCGCAGAAGUCCAGGAACUUUUUGCCGGUGAACUGAGUGCCAUUGUCGGUGAUGAUGACGUUGGGAAUCCCAAACCGGUGGAUGAUGUCGGUGAAGAAAAGGACGGCCUGCUCGGAGCGGAUGUUGGUGAUGGGUCGAGCCUCGAUCCAUUUGGAGAACUUGUCGAUAGCCACCAGCAAGUGAGUGUACCCCCCUUUUGCCUUUUGUAGAGGCCCCACUAAGUCGAGCCCCCGUACCGUGAACGGCCAUGUGAUCGGGAUCAUCUGGAGAGCGUGGGCAGGCAGGUGCGUCUACUUGGCGUAGAAUUGGCACCCGUGGCAUGAGCGUACGAGCCCGAUGGCAUCAGCUACGGCCGUUGGCCAGUAGAAUCCUUGUGGGAAGGCGCUCCCUACGAGGGUCCGUGGAGCAGCAUGGUGCCCACAAGCCCCCGAUUGUAGAUCCUCAAGGAGCUUCCGGCCUUCCUCUAUGGUGACGCAACGCUGCAAGACCCCUGUCGGGCUUCGUCGGUAUAGCUCCUUGUCAUCGCCAUAGAUUACAUAUGACUUGGCCCACCGAGCAAUACGGCGGGCCUCAGAUUGAUCUUCUGGCAGCUCGCAGCGGAUCAGGCAGUCGAGGAACGGCGUGCGCCAAUCGAAAGGUCGACCGGGCCGCACUUCCAUUACCUCAGCCGCCAUUAGUAAUGCCUCGACGGCAUUGGUUUGCUGGGCAGGAGCGGACUCGAUGCCAGUCCCCGAACCCAGGUCGACGGAUGGCUCGUGUAGAUCUCUUGAAAAUGCGUCAGGAGGGACCGUGCCUCGAGUCGACGCAAUCCUGGCGAGUUCGUCGGCUGCCUCGUUGUAGCGUCGGGCGACGUGGACGAGCUCGAGGCCGUGGAACUUGUCCUCGAGUCGACGGACUUCCUUGCAGUAUGCUUCCAUUUUUGGGUCGUGACAGUUCGAGGCUUUCAUUACUUGGUCGAUCAUGAGCUGGGAGUCGCCUCGAACGUCGAGGCAUCGGACUCCCAGCUUGAUGGCGAUCUUCAGACCGUUGACAAGGGCCUCGUACUCUGCAACAUUGUUGGAUGCGGCAAAGUGUAUCCUGACGACGUACCUCAUAUGGACGCCCAACAGCGAGAUGAAUAGCAGGCCCGCCCCAGCUCCUGUCUUCAUGAGAGACCCGUCGAAGUACAUCGUCCACAGCUCCGCUUGAACCUGGGUCAGGGGGAGCUGGGAGUCUGUCCAUUCCGCGAUGAAAUCCACAAGGGCUUGCGACUUGAUAGCCUUACGGGGCGCAUAAGUGAGAGUCUCACUCAUGAGCUCGACCGACCAUUUGGCGAUUCUUCCCGUGGCUUCUCGACUUUGAAUGAUCUCUCCCAAGGGGAAGGAUGAGACCAUUGUGAUAGGAUGGCCGAGGAAGUAGUACUGCAGCUUACGUCGGGCAAGGAUUACGGUGUAGAUUAGCUUCUGGAUCUGCGGGUAACGCGCCUUGGUCUCCGAGAGUACCUCGCCGACGAAAUAGACCGGCCUCUGGACAGGCAAUGCAUGCCCCUCCUCCUGCCUCUCGACCACCACAGCUGCACUGACGACCUGGAUCGUCGAGGCAACAUAAAGGGGCAGCGGUUCUGCAGGUCGACGUGGGACCAGGACUGGUGCUGAGGUCAGCAUUUUCUUCAGGUUUCUGAGGGCUUCCUCGGCCUCGGGGGUCCAAGAGAAGCGCUCAACUCUCUUCAGAAGUCGGUACAGAGGCAAUGCCUUUUCUCCCAACCUCGAGAUAAAACGACUCAGCGCCGCUAGGCAUCCCGUUACUCUUUGUACGCCCUUGAUGUCUCGGAUCGGCCCCAUUCUCGUGAUGGCCGAGACUUUCUCGGGGUUGGCCUCGAUGCCGCGCUGGGAAAUGAUGUAACCCAGGAGCAUGCCUCGAGGUACGCCAAAAACGCACUUCUCGGGGUUGAGCUUGAUCUGGUUGGCGCGUAAACAGCUGAAAGUGAUUUCGAGGUCCUGGAUCAGGUUUCCCCGCUACUUCGACUUGACGACAAUGUCGUCGACAUAGGCCUCGCCUGUCGACCCUAUGUGCUUGCCAAACACGUGGAGCAUGCAGCGCUGAUAUGUGGCCCCCGCGUUUCGAAGCCCGAACAGCAUGGUCACAUAACAAUACAUCCCAAAAGGUGUGAUGAAAGAUGUCGCGAGUUGGUCAGACUCUUUCAUUUUUAUUUGGUGGUAACCAGAAUAUGCAUCAAGGAAAGAAAGGGUUUCACAUCUCGCAGUUGAAUCAAUGAUUUGAUCGAUACGAGGUAAUGGAAAAGGAACUUUUGGACAUGCUUUAUUUAAACUUGUAUAAUCGACACACAUCCUCAUUUUCCCAUUCUUUUUCUUAACUAGUACAGGAUUUGCUAACCAGUCGGGAUGGUGAACCUCCUUGAUGAAUCUGGCCAUCAAAAGCUUUUGGAUCUCUUUGCCAAUGAUCUUGCGCUUCUCCUCGUCGAAUCGGCGCAACCGCUGCUUCACUGGCUUGGAACCGGCUCGAAUUUCCAAGGAGUGCUCGGCGACCUCCCUCGGUAUGCCAGGCAUGUCCGAGGGACUCCAUGCAAAUAUAUCGGCGUUUGCACAGAGAAAGUCGACGAGCACGGCUUCCUAUUUAGGAUCGAGGUCGGCGCUGAUCGUCAGCACCUUGCCGUCGGAGUCGUUGGGGUCCAGCGGGAUCUUGGUUCCUUCCGCCGGCUCGAAGCUGCCCGCAUGGCGCUUGGGCUCUGGAGCCUCAGCGGCCAGGGCCUCGAGCUUUGAGGCGAGCUCGGUGGAACUCUCGACUGCCUCUCCGUACUCGACGCAUUCGACAUCGCAUUCAUACGCAUGCUCGAAGGAGGAGCUGACGGUGAUGACGCCCUUGGGACCGGGCAUCUUCAGCUUCAAGUAGGUGUAGUUGGGGAUAGCCAUGAAUUUGGCGUAGCCCGGGCGCCCGAUGAUGGCAUGGUACGUGCCCCGGAACCCCACCACUUCAAAGGUGAGGGUCUCCUUUCUGUAGUUGGCUACUGUGCCAAAGCAGACCGGUAGGUCGAUUCGACCUACCGGCAACGCCUUCUUUCCUGGCACGACGCCAUGGAAUCCACCCGCGCUUGGCUGGAGCUGCGCCCUGCUGAUGCCGAGGAGGUCGAGGGUCUCGAAGUAGAUGAUGUUAAGGCUGCUGCCGCCGUCCAUCAGUACCUUUGAGAGCCGGGUGUUGAUGAUGAUAGGGUCGACGACGAGCGGGUAGACGCCAGGGGCAACUACCUUAUCGGGGUGGUCCUCUCGAUUAAAGGUGAUGGGGGUGCUCGACCAGCUGAGGUACUGAGGCACUGCCAUUCUUGCCACGAAGACCUCACGGCAUACCCUCUUGCGCUGCCUUUCGGUCAACUGUGUCAAGGGCCCGCCGUAGAUCAUGUAGUAGUCGUGGACGGCAGGGAAACCACCGUCGUCCUUGUCGUCCUCCUUUUCGCCGCCCUUCUCUUUCUUUGGGUCAUCGCGCGAGUCCUUCCUGAACCCCAGACUGUCGAAAUGCUUUCUCAGCAUACGACAGUCCUUGAGCUUGUGGUUGGCUCCCCCCUUAUGGUAAGGGCACAGCUCUUCUAGCAUCUUAUCGAAGAUGCCCCAUCUGGGGGGCCUCGAGGCUUUUUGCGUUCCAUGGCGGCGACGAGAUCGUCAUCGAGGUCUUCCCAUUGGAACGGCCGGGUCUUCUUCUUCUUCUUGCUCUUUUUGGGCCCUCGACUGGGGCCUUAGUCAUCGUCGGCGGGCUGCUUGCCUUUCCUUCCUUCACAGCUGAAGAAGGCGCUGACUGCUUCUUCUCCUGCCGCGUAGUUGGCCACCACAUCCAUCAGCUCUUCGGCGGUUUGAGGGCGAUUCCGGCAUAAUUCCCGUACCAAGUCUCGACUGGUGGUACCAGAGACAAAGGCCAGGAUGAUGUCGUGAUCGGGGAUGUGCGGCAGCUCGGUGCGUUGCUUUGAGAAGCGUCGAGCGUACUCUCGAAGUGUUUCUCCUGACUUCUGCUUGCACUUGCUGAGGUCCCACGAGUUCCCGGGCCGUAUGUAAAUCCCUUUGAAAUUACCCUCGAAAACCCUGACCAAAUCGACCCAGUCGUGGAGCUGAUCGGCCGGGAGCUCUUCGAGCCACCGGCGAGCAGUGUCGGAAAGGAAGAGCGGAAGCUGUCUAAUGAUGGCUCGAUCGUCUCCUCGAGCACCUCCCAGCUGACAGGCCAGCCUGAAGUCUGCCAACCACAGCUCCGGUUUGGUCUCUCCGUUGUACUUCGCAAUGCUGUUCGGGGGUCGGAACGGGCUGGGCAGCGGCGUGCUGCGGAUUGCCCUACUGAAUACCCAUGGGCCUGGUGGUUCUGGAGCCAUCCGGUCCUCAUCGCUGUCGUACCUACCGCCGCGAUGGGCGCUGUAACCGCGCUCUUCCGCGUCCCUGUACCGACGGCGUCGAUUCUCUUCAAUGUCGCGUCGCGCGUCGUGUCAACGCUGAUUGUCAACGGGGAGAAUGAGCGUGGUCUUUCUCUCUCGAGGGGGUGGCUGCUGAUGGACUGACACCUCCUUUUCGUUUUGGGCUGGCUCAUCGCGCUUUUCAGUGGUAGCUCCUCGACAUCGAGAAGCCGAGCUUUCGGCCUGUUGAACUGCCGCCACCUGGAGUAGUGUCUGCACCUCGUCUCGAAUGCGUCGAGCUUGGGAGUUUGAUGGCUCCGGCAUGUUUCGCAACAGCAUUGUCGCUGCCACGACGUUCUGGCCCACUCGAGGGAAAUAGCUAACGGGCUGCUCUGGCUCUGCGUCUCCAACGAUCUGUCGGUGUACCUCUCGAGCUCGUCUGCGGACACUUCCGCCAGGAGGGUAAGGCAGGUCCUGCUCGAGGAUCUGCUCAAGCAGGACAAGGCGCUCGCGGUCCUCGUCAAGCUUUGCCUUGAGUUCUCGUAGCUGCGCAAUUUGCGCGGCUCUGUCUUCUUGCAGAGGGGGGUUGACCUGGCCGUCAUUCCCAGGCGUCCUGGGGUCUUCUCUCGCUGCAGGGGCUCCCCCGCCCACAACGGCGUCUUGUGUCUCGUCGGUGGUUUCCACCGCUCCGUCGACAUGGAAGCACUCCCUAGUAGGGUCGUGGCUGUCGGAUUCUGAGCCGGAGUCCGGCUCGGCGGCGUAGAAACAUCCGCGUCUUUCCUCCAGCAGCCGCUGUCAGAGGGAGGUAAUCGUGUACCGCCUAGGGCCUAAGCGGCAGAGGCCUCGUACCUAGGAGAAGUCUGGUAGCUCGGACAUCGGUCGCUGCGCUCUAGGGCCGUGUGGCAGGACCAUUGGUCUCUCCACGUAUGUCUGAGCGUUUGGGCGUAUCGCCCUAGCGAGUGACGGUGCGGCAUUGUCCAGGCCGAACGGUGUUGACGGUCCUUAAGUACUAAAAUUAAUAAUCAAAUAAACAUGAAAAAGGAUCAAUAUGAAACAAACAUCUAGAAUUAGGGUUUUAUCUGACAGAAUUCCACGAGCUUUGGUGUUUAUCUAUUUCUGCAGGGGUUUAUCAGAAAAUAUGGAGAGAAUGUCCACAUGUCAUGUUUACAACGAGAUAAUUACGUGCUGCGCAAUUUUCCUCAAUCUAGAAGGAUCCAGAAGCCACGGGAACGAACGGGACGCAAAUCGGGCUCGGGAGCUGGGCGGCCGCCCACCCCCCUUGGGUGCCCGCCCUGGCCAGGAGUUGGAUCAGGACUCUCUCUCGGGACAACUCUCCACCGACCUAAAGGAUCAAUCUAAACCAUACAAUCUAUGUCGGUUUGAUCCAAUGGCUCACGUUCACUUGAGGGGACUAUAAAACCAGACCCCCUGGCCCCUGGAGGAGAAGAGGAGAAAUCAUUAUUCAGAGGUAGCCAUCCAAGUUAGGGUUUAGAUCUCUCUCCCACAGAGAAUUAGAAUUAGCUACUCCCUAAUCCUUCAAGUUUAGAGGUUGAUUAGAUAGCAAUUAGAGAAGUAGAGCACUACGCUCUGGAUUCGGAUCUUCGGUAAUAAAGAUUGGUAUUAUUCAUAUCUUUCUCUAAUUCUAUUGUGCUAAUUGCAUUAUGUUUCUAAUUAUUAUGUUCUUAGUUUUCUCUAGUUCUAUAUUUGAUAUAGUUCUAAUUGAUAAUGAGUUUAUGUAUAAGUUUGCAAAGCGCUUAGCUCUUGACGCGAGGGAGUGAGGUGAUAGAUCACAUGUGAGCGUGGUGCUUAGAUGUUAUUUAUCUGCAAAUGUAUCCUAUUGGCCGAGUCGUGUGGUAGUUCGCGAUAGUGACAGCUUUGUUGAUUCUUAUAUAGUCCACCCUCUGUUGAUAGGACAGGCAGAACCGGUAUUGUGGAGUAAGUCAUGCGAUGCUCUGAUUUACUUUAUCAAUGUUCCUUAUACAUGAAUGAAGAGUCUUUUAUGCUAUAUAAGAUCUUGUAGAUAACUAGAGUAGAUUAUGACUUAGUAGUUAGUAGAUAACUUAGAAUCCAUUCUCUAGCUAAUCCGACAUCACCUACAUAUAUGAGGAGUAGUCUAUUUUCUAAUCGCUGUGUUAUCUACCCAUGAACUUAUACUUUAUUAUCAUCAUCUUUAUGGUUUACCCCCUGCUAAAGUAAGUGACUGUGUGACGAGUUUCUCAUUAGUAAUCAUGUUCUUGCAAGUUUAUCUCUAGUCUAUGCCUUGAUAGAUUUUGCCCAUUGAUUUAAUUCCAUCUUCUUGAGAUCCCCUAAGCAAAAUUAUAAAUAACGAUACCUGGAAUACUUAUCCUGGUGAAAUGCUACAGUGAGGUGUUUUAUCUGUGCGCUUGCGGAUAGAAUAGAUUAUUUUCUAGAGAGCCUUUACAUUUAUAAAUACCUUUGUACACUCUGGCGCCAUGCUAGGGAUGACAACCUAGUAUCUAAGUGGUGUUAGCUAGUGUCAACAAGCAUUUCUGGCGCUGUUGCCGGGGAUAUCUUAUAGGAAUUAUAUGAGCCUCAGGAAUAAGUCAUAAAAGGGAACAAAAGGGUAAUAUUAAGGAAAGCCAGAAAAUCAAUCAAGGUUAUUCAUACAAAAUAUUAGACUAGACUAUAGAGAAAUAAUUGCAUAAAACAGCUACUAAGUGAGAAAUCAUAACAAGGCACCGCUGCUUUGGCAGGUUCACCCUGUUGUUUUUCUAUGUUUAUAUUUUUAUACAGGGUAUAACAGGAUUGACUUUGGGCACAUUCAACUCUUCAUCAUCAGAACCAAAGCAAUCAAGAGAAGAAGAAGCUAGCUACCAAUUGCUGAAGCUUUGGCACACAAGACCUUGCAAGAAUUCUCUGCUCCAAGCCUUGAGAACAUUCCAACUGGUCCAAGAUUUGCAGUAGAAGAAGGAAUACCUGAGUUUGAGCUCAAGUCAAGCCUCAUCAAUUUGGUGCAAGCUACACAAUUCAGUGGAAAGGCACAUGAAGAUGCUAGUGCACACUUGCAGAAUUUCUUAGAGAUUGGAAGCACAAUCCACAUCAACGGAGUUGACAAAGACGUCAUACUGCUUCACCUCUUUCCAUUCUCACUAGAAGGAAAAGCAAGGAAGUGGUUCUACACUCAUCAAGAUAACAUCAACAACUGGACGAACUUGUCAGAUGCCUUUCUAUCAAAGUUUUUCCCUAUAGGCAAAACAACUGCCUUAAGAGAAAAUAUUGUCAGUUUCCAACAACAGAAGACAGAAGCCAUUUCAGAAGCAUGGGAGCGUUUUCAAGGAUACAUAUCAGAUUGUCCUCACCAUGGAAUGGCUACAUGGUUACUUAUGCAGACCUUCUACCAUGGACUAACCUAGAAGACUCGUGAGUGCCUAGAUGCAUCCGCUAAAGGAUCAUUCUUGGAACUUACAACUGGAAAAGCAGAGAUACUUUUGGAUAAGAUAGCAGAAAACCAAAGCUGGUUCCAAGAUAAAGCUCAACAAUGUCAUCAAACUGAAGAAAUACCAGAAGAAGUAAAUGCGUUAUCAAGUAAGAUGGAAAAUUUGCUCCAUUGGAUUGACCAAAGGGCCAAGUUCAAAGAAGAUCAAAGGGCCAUUGAGACAGCAUACAAAUAUCAACCAACUUCAAGUCAACCCAAUAGCAAAGGUAUGAAUUCAGGUAAUACUGUCAAACAACUUUCAUUAAAAGAGAUAAUUGCUCAACAAACCAAAAUUAAUGAUAAAGUUAAACAAAGGCUAGAUACAAAUGAAUCAUCUCUAAAAGAUAUACAAAAUAAAAUGGAUUUUCUACUAACUGCCUUUGAUGAGCAUAACACUCUUAAUAAAAGGGUAGAGCUUAAAUUAAUAAAGAUAGCUGCUGCACUGCCUGUUGCUACUAACCUUGAGCAGGUAAAGAAUAUAACUACUAGAGGAGGCAAAGCUACCAGAGAUCCACCAUACCCAAAAGAGAAGCAAAGAACAUCAGCACCAGUGAAACCAGCAGUGAUAGAAGAAGAAAGCCCAGUUGGAGCAGAAGAUCUGCCACAACCACCAAGAACUGGAGAAAUGAGGAAAGAUUUUUAUGACACCAACUAUUUGCCAUUUCCUAGAAGAAACAGAGGACUGCAGUCGGAUGAGCAGUUUGGUAAGUUUGUAGAGGUCAUUCAGAAAUUAUAUGUCAACAUACCUCUGCUCGAUGCCAUACAGGUACCUACAUAUGCAAAGUACAUCAGAGAUAUUCUUAACAAGAAGAGACCACUGCCCACCACUGAGGUUAUCAAGCUGACAGAAGAAUGUAGUGCGGCCAUCCUCGACAAACCACCAAAGAAGAAGGAAGAUCCAGGAUGUCCCACUAUCGAUUGCUCGAUCGGAAACCAACACUUCAACAAUGCACUUUGUGAUCUCGGAGCAAGUGUCAGUGUGAUGCCAGCAUCAGUCUACAAAAAGCUUGAGCAUGCAACCUUAGAACCAACAUCAAUGUGCCUACAACUAGCGGAUCAAUCGGUUCGACACCCGUUGGGCAUCGCCGAGAACAUUCCAGUCAAGAUCAGAGAUUUCCUGGUGCCAGUAGACUUCGUGGUACUAGACAUGAGUCCUGACUCAAAAGUGUCCAUCAUCCUUGGAAGGCCAUUUCUGAGCACUGCCAAUGCCCACAUUGAUGUCGGAAAAGGAGAAAUCAAGUUCAACAUAAACGGUCAAGAAGAACAUUUCACAUUCAAACCCAGACCAGAGAGAGACCCUACAGUGAAGGAAGUUCAUGAAGAACCACUGGAGACACCAUCUCCGGAGGAAGGAAACUCAGAAGAUUAAAAGAUUUGGAGGUCCAGCUUGGGGGACCUAAAAAUCCCAAACCCUCACCGGAGGUAAAUCGGUAUUUAUCCGCAUUAUUUUUCUCUCAUAUUUAAUUUCUUGCAUUAGUCACAUUUAUUCAUAGCAUUAUUAUAAUAAUCAAAAAGCCCCAGAUAAAUAAUAUUCGUGGUGUGUAACAACCCAUAUUUAUUAAUUAUUGUGGAGGCACAAAAAUAUUUCCCAUUAUCAUUUUAAUUAAGUUUCAAUUCUCAUAGAUUUUUCCUGCAUUAUAUUUAAUUGAUCUUCUAGAAGCAUGACCCACACUCUUUGGGUCCCACAUGUCAUACACUUCAUCUCACAUACAUCCCAUCAUAUAAUUUCAUCCACCAAUAUGUUUCCACUCACCUGACAUCUUUCCACCGUCCAACCACUAUCAACACAAUAUUAUUCUGCGUGAGAUCAAAGCAAGGAAGCAAGUGGAGGAGGCACACCCAGGAUGGACACCAGGGGGGGGCGCCCGCCCACCUACCUUGGGCGCCCGCCCUGUCCCCUGCUCAGCCUAUAAAAGGCCACCUCCAGCUCCCUUUCUCUUCACACAAACACUUCAGAAAACCACACAAAUCUCAGUUUCUCGAGAAGGAGCUUUUGUAGUGAAGAGAAGAGAGUAGAGAGAAAGAGGAGAGUGGAAGGGAAGGUUGGAGUUCUUUUGAGAGAGUAAUUAUCACCUAGCAAGUAGUGAUCCCGUUGUCUAAACGGAAGUAAAUGUUGUUUAGGGGGAAGCUCUGCUAAAAUAGAAACUUGUCUUGAACGAUUAACCCCUAGACUACUGACAUUCGGACAGCUGACCACUAACAUUUUAUCUCACAUUUUCCACCAGUUGUGUUUUUGCCAACUUUUGUUUGCAGGAUGUUUAAGAAGGUGAAGAAUGCAGGGAAGGCUCUCAAGAACAUUGGUACAAGGAGUUCAACCCGACACUCCUCACAGCCAUCAGAGAUGAGCGUCGACCCGACACCCACACAAGCUCCAUCAUCUUCAUCAGGUCAGCAAGUUAAGGUCCUUCUCAAGAUAGGAGACCUUGGACUGAAGACCCGAAGAGAGAAGGAAUUCUAUCAGCAAUUGAAGAACAAAGAUUUCAUUCACACUCCUACUAUCGAUCCAAUCCUACUACGAGAAACAGGUAUGAACACUGAAUUUGACUUAAUUUUUCAAAUGAUGGGUUGGACAAAUUUUUGGAAUAUAACUGAGCUGGGUUCUCGUCUUCUCACCCUCGAAUUUCUUUGCACUUUACAAUACUAUGAGGGGGGAAUUGUUUUUCGUAUGUUUAAACAGGAAAUUAUGUUAUCUUGGAGAGAGCUGAGCGACCAUCUUGGUUUCUCUUCAAGAUGCAUCCUGAACAUUGAUUCCGAUUUACCCAAUUUUGAGAGACACCAGUUUUGGAGAGAAAUAUCUAGAGAUAAUUUUUACAGUCAAGCCCGAACCAGUGACAUGGAACACCCCACUCUUAGGAUGUUCCACAAAUGGCUUGGGUACAAUCUUUUCUAUCGCGAUGAUAUUAGGAAAGUAAGAGUAGGAGAUUUACAACUUUUAUAUGCUGCUAUUAGUAAAGUACCUACUUCACCUGUUACACUAUUAGUUUCACAUUGGCUUAGUAUACCUAGUCUUCAGGGACCAGUAGGAUGUACUUCACUUAUCACUCGUCUAGCCACUAAUCUUCACUUACUAGAAAACUCAUCGUUGGACUUCAUAGAAGAAUUAAGAAUUUAUCAUGGCUAUGACACAUUUAGACAAGCUCGGAUGUUAAAGAAAGAGGGGAAUAUAAUGUAUAUGCUAUAUGAUGAUAAAGGCAAGAUUCGGUUACCUAACCCGAACCUUGGCCUCUAAUCGGUGCAAAACUUUUUGAUUGAGAUUGCAGCAACACCAGUGAACCAGAGAACUCCACAGCGAGUGGCAUCUGAAAGGAUAACCACUCACCGAGAACGCACUUGGUAUGGAGCUGACCCUAGACCAGAAGAAGCAGCACACCUACAUUAUUGCGAUUACAACCCUCGAGUCCUUCGAGACCCAUGGGCUCGUCAUGCGCAACCACAAGAGCCAACAGAGGAGACAUGGCCGGAGAGCCAAGAGCACCAGUGGACAAACCCGCCUUUCCAUACGGGCAGGUACUCCACUGAUCCAUAUGGAGCUUCAGGAUCCAGACCUCCACCCCAAUUUGAUGCAGGACGAUACUCCGACGCCUCCUACACCUUCACGAAUGAUUACUAUCAAGAGGCCGGUGCUUUCUUCACUCGUACCGACAACACCCUCCUCGACAUCCAGAACACGCAAGCAGAACAUGGAAGACUCCUGGAAGAGCAACAAAAAUGGAACCAGGACCAUGCCGCUGCGGUACAAGAGCUGAGACAAGAUACAACAACAAUGAACGACAACAUCACAACCAUGAUGCGGUUCUGGAACAUCGGGUAAGACCGACAGCAACAUCCAGCUUGGGGGAGUUCCUCCCAAAUUUAUCAAGUAAGUUUUUAUUUGCUCUUCUUAUUUAUUCUUUUCUAUUUUAGUAUUUUAUCUUAAAAGGAAAAAAAAUUAGAAAACCCAAUAAAUAUUUUCUUGCUUUAAUUUACUGCACUUUAUAAACACGAAAACAAAAUAAAAAGAGUGUGUAGAUAAGUGUGCUUUAUUUAUUUGCUAAGUUUAAUCUCUAGAAAAAUAAAAGACCAAAAAGAUGCAUGAUGGAAAUGAUGGAUAGUUGCUCUGUUUGCUCACUUGCAAGUACCUAGCUUUUAUAUUAAAGUUCUUCCAGGAAUUACUAAAACUGAAAUUACUAUCUUUGGGAAGCAUAAAAUUAAAGUCUAGGUAAGCGAAAGGCAUGAUAUAAAGUUGAGCUGCUGUUUAUCUUGUUCCUACUACACUAAGUUCUAGAGAUUUAUUUUGAAAACUUACAAAUCACAUGAUGAGUUCCUAGUAUACAAAACUACCUACCACAGCCAUACUUGCUAUAACAUCUUUUACUAUAUUUACAUUGAGUUUGAUCGAGCUGUGUUGACCCUUAGGAGCUUUUCAUGUGGUUAAAAUAAGAUAUUCACUUGCACACAUCUACCACAGCAUUCAUCAUCAAUCAUUAAAAUUGCUAAAAAUAUUUUCACUCACUAUCCCGAAUAUUGUUAUACUCUCUCUCUAAAAAGAUUCAAUGCAGAAGAGGCAUGGGUUAUGCAAAAAUAUACAAGGAAAUAAAAAGGGGCAAGUGCCCGGAACCUCGGAAAAGAAAGAAAAAGAGUGAGACGAGAGGUAAAAAUGGACAAGUGUCCGAAGUAGAAUUAGGGGUACAAAGAUGCCCACUUGAGCGGAAAAAAUGGACAAGUGUCCGACAGUAGAAUUAGGGGUAUCUACUACCCACCUGAAAAAAAAGAAAAUAAAAAGAUAGUCCAUGUUCUCCCAAAGCAAAGAUCAAAGAGGAGGAGAGAUAGCAAUAUGAGGAGCAAUGAGAACUAAGAUUUAUUAACACUAUUGCAUUUUCACCAUCACUAUCAUUUACUCCAUCACACAUGCACAUCUUGAUUUAAUUAUAUGCUGAGUUCCUUUGGAUCCAUGGCUCGAUUAGACAACAUAUGUAUGAGCUGUUUUUUUCACUCCUAUGAGCUCCACUUAAAUAUUCUAUUAGCUAUAGGCAAGUGAUAUCAUGGUAAGGAUCCACAAAUACCACAUAUAGAGAGACUUGAGAGAAUCAUUGCUGGGAACUCUGAGUUUUAUUUUGAAAACUUAUGAAAAACUCUAGAACAAAGGUGAAGUAUAAACAGGAGGGAUAGUGCUUGACUUAACUAUUUUGUCUUUUGAUUACUUAAGAUUUAAGUGCAGGUACUAAACUCCAUAACACUUCACUCUAAUCUGGAAGAAUUUUUAUGUAAAAGCAUGUGUGCCUGUCAGGAAAGAAAACAUCGAAGCAACUCCUGAUCCGUCUAAGCUUAGCUAUUUGCUCAGGGACGAGCAAAGGGUAAGCUUGGGGGAGUUUGUUGACGGUCCUUAAGUACUAAAAUUAAUAAUCAAAUAAACAUGAAAAAGGAUCAAUAUGAAACAAACAUCUAGAAUUAGGGUUUUAUCUGACAGAAUUCCACGAGCUUUGGUGUUUAUCUAUUUCUGCAGGGGUUUAUCAGAAAAUAUGGAGAGAAGGUCCACAUGUCAUGUUUACAACGAGAUAAUUACGUGCCGCGCAAUUUUCCUCAAUCUAGAAGGAUCCAGAAGCCACGGGAACGAACGGGACGCGAAUCGGGCUCGGGAGCUGGGCGGCCGCCCACCCCCCUUGGGCGCCCGCCCUGGCCAGGAGUUGGAUCAGGACUCUCUCUCGGGACAACUCUCCACCGACCUAAAGGAUCAAUCUAAACCAUACAAUCUAUGUCGGUUUGAUCCAAUGGCUCAUGUUCACUUGAGGGGACUAUAAAACCAGACCCCCUGGCCCCUGGAGGAGAAGAGGAGAAAUCAUUAUUCAGAGGUAGCCAUCAAAGUUAGGGUUUAGAUCUCUCUCCCACAGAGAAUUAGAAUUAGCUACUCCCUAAUCCUUCAAGUUUAGAGGUUGAUUAGAUAGCAAUUAGAGAAGUAGAGCACUACGCUCUGGAUUCGGAUCUUCGGUAAUAAAGAUUGGUAUUAUUCAUAUCUUUCUCUAAUUCUAUUGUUCUAAUUGCAUUAUGUUUCUAAUUAUUAUGUUCUUAGUUUGCUCUAGUUCUAUAUUUGAUAUAGUUCUAAUUGAUAAUGAGUUUAUGUAUAAGUUUGCAAAGCGCUUAGCUCUUGACGCGAGGGAGUUAGGUGAUAGAUCACAUGUGAGCGUGGUGCUUAGAUGUUAUUUAUCUGCAAAUGUAUCCUAUUGGCCGAGUCGUGUGGUAGUUCGCGAUAGUGACAGCUUCGUUGAUUCUUAUAUAGUCCACCCUCCGUUGAUAGGACAGGCAGAACCGGUAUUGUGGAGUAAGUCAUGCGAUGCUCUGAUUUACUUUAUCAAUGUUCCUUAUACAUGAAUGAAGAGUCUUUUAUGCUAUAUAUGAUCUUGUAGAUAACUAGAGUAGAUUAUGACUUAGUAGUUAGUAGAUAACUUAGAAUCCAUUCUCUAGCUAAUCCGACAUCACCUACAUAUAUGAGGAGUAGUCUAUUUUCUAAUCGCUGUGUUAUCUACCCAUGAACUUAUACUUUAUUAUCAUCAUCUUUAUGGUUUACCCCCUGCUAAAGUAAGUGACUGUGUGACGAGUUUCUCAUUAGUAAUCAUGUUCUUGCAAGUUUAUCUCUAGUCUAUGCCUUGAUAGAUUUUGCCCAUUGAUUUAAUUCCAUCUUCUUGAGAUCCCCUAAGCAAAAUUAUAAAUAACGAUACCUGGAAUACUUAUCCUGGUGAAAUGCUACAAUGAGGUGUUUUAUCUGUGCGCUUGCGGAUAGAAUAGAAUAUUUUCUAGAGAGCCUUUACAUUUAUAAAUACCUUUGUACACUCUGGCGCCAUGCUAGGGAUGACAACCUAGUAUCUAAGUGGUGUUAGCUAGUGUCAACAAACGGCAAGGCUCCUCUUGAGGCGAACAGCCCAUGUGGGAGUAGCCUGGCGGUGGGGGAGAGCGCGCGGGGCGCAUCACCUCCAGUCGUCGUGUGAUCCUUACGGUGCUGAGCCGUCGUGCCCGUGGUGCACGGGGCUAUCGGCCUUCGUGCCGUCUCCUGCCUGGCACGGACUGCUGGUCGUGGCAAGGCAGAAAGGCGAUGGUGGCGCUAUCCAUGCCUCUUCUUGGGCCGGGAGGCGUGGUGGUGAGGACGUCUUGGGGCCCUCAUCCGGGUUGGCGCAACGCGGGCUCCUCCCGGCCCUUUGAUCGAGAGCAAGAUCAUGUCAUAGCCGGAGCCAGUGGACAUGAACUCGAGACUCCCAAACCAAAUCAUCGUGGAGCACGGAAUCGGUGAAGAAAGAGUGGCCAUCUAGGAAAGAACGGGAAAUCGAUGAAAAACACGCAGGACCCCUACCUGGCGCGCCAACUGUCGGUGUUUUCCCCACGGGGGGUCACACCAACGAGUGAAUUUGUAUGCGUGCUUCCCUUUCCCAGAUGGUGAUGCAAAAAGACACAAGGAUUUAUCCUAGUUCGGGCAAGAGAAGGCCCUACGUCCAGCGGGGGGAGAGAGUUUGUAUUAUUUUGCACCUAAGUGCUUGUACAGGGGUGAAUACAAGCGUGGUAUGGAGUAUGGAAGUUCUACUGCAUAUGGGUGUGGUGUUGCGUGUGUCGUAUAGUUGAUGUCCCACUGAGUCCGCUCCCGGGGUUCCCCUUUUAUAGUUCCAAGAAGAAGGCCAAGGUACAAGUAUAGGUGAGAGAGUAGGGGUCGAUAGAGGCAUGGCGCGCAGACCUACUCGAAGCCUCCGUACCGGCGUGGUCUCGAGCCAUCCUGUCCUGGUAGCUUGAUGAUGAUUACGCGUGCCCUGGAAUCCUCCUCUGCGCGCUGUCUUGGAUUGGUUCAUUGGUGGCACGCAGGUUCGAUACAGCGGCGGAUCCAUCGCAGUGGUUGCUUUAUUGCCGUUCGACACCCUGUUGACGGUCCUUAAGUAUCAAAUUUAAUUAUCAAAUAAAUAAAGAAAAGGAUCCAAAUGGAAUCAAGAUCUAGACUUAGGGUUUUAUCUGACAGAAUUCCACGAGUUUUGGUGUUUGUCUAUUUCUGCAGGGGGUUAUCAGGAAAUAUGGAAGAAAGGCUCACAUGUCAGGAUUACGUAAAGAUAUUAACGUGCUGCGCAAUUAUCUUACAUCUAGAAGAUUCCAGAAGCCACGAGACCGAAGCGGAGGCGAAACGGGGCCAGACCCUGGGCGGCCGCCCAGUUGGUCAGGGCGCCCGCCCACCCCCUGUGUCCAAUCAGGACUCUGCUUUGCGGGAAGUCUCCACCGAUCUAAAGGAUGAAUCUAAACCAUACAAUCUAUGUCGGUUUGAUCCAAGGGCCCAUAUUCACUUGAAGGGACUAUAAAACCAGACCCCCUGGCCCCUGGAGGAGAGAGCCUCUCAACCCUAAUUCAUUGUUCCAUCAAGGGAGAAGAAGCCUCUGAUCAAGAUUAGAGCCACCACAUCAAUUAGAUAUCUAGAUUAGCAUAGCUACAUAGGAUUAGAACUAGAAGGAGUCAAUCUUCGAUUGGUUUCCGGAUCUGUCAGGAGGAUUCUUGGUAAUUCUCUAAUUGUGCUUCUAAUUGCUUUCUAAUUAUCUUUGUUCUUCAAUAUUAUGAAUAUGACUUUGUUCUACUUCAAUAUAUUGCUUAUGACUUUGCUCUACUUGCUUAUAUUCAAGAUUAUAUUGUUCUUAGUUUAUCAUAGUUAUGUACUUGGCUUAGUUAGAUACGAUCUAUAUACAUGCUUAGGAUCGUAUAGCGUUUAUCCAUCGGAUCCAUGGGUAAAUGAUAGAUAUUGUGUAGGCGUGGUGCUUAUACCGUAUUUAUCUGCGAUUGUACCCAAUAUGCCAGAUCGUGGGGUGGUUCGUGAUAGUGACAGCUUCAUUGAUUCUUAUAUAGUCCCCCUCUCGUGUAUUGGGCUGGCAGAGCAACAUUAUUACAGGGGAGUGAUUGCUAUGUUUCUCAUAUUCCUUGCUAAUAUCACUAUGCAUGGGCGUAGUCUUGUCUCGCAAUGAUUGCUAAGUAUGCUUGCACUAACUAUGAUAUGCUAGACUAUAUAGUUGAGAAUAACUUAGGGAAUAUUCUUGUAGUUCGUUCUAAUACCAUGCUAAUGACUUUCUAGAGUAUCUAAUUGAGGUGCUUAUCAUAUUUAUUAUGUGGCUAGAUCAGAUUAGUUAUCCUUGUCACUAUUAUUAUUUCAUAUAUCUUUUAUGUGACACUUAUCCCUGUAUGAAGAGUUAGAUAUAAUGUUCUCAAUUAUACAUGCAAUGAUAGAUGCUCAAUCUCAUAUUCUAUUCUGUAAUCAUUAGUGAUGAUUGUUAAUCCCUUCCUAGUGGUAAAAAUAUAAAUAACGAUACCUGGAAUACUUCCCGGUUAAAAUGCUGCAUCGGUAUUAAUCUGUGCGCUUGCAGAUCCCAUUCAUUAUUUAUUUAGAAGAGCAAUUGCAUAUUUCAAUACCGCGUCUCUCAUGUCAUGCUGGGGAUGACAACUUGGCUUAAGUGGUGUGAGGGAUAGGUUUGGCAUUUUUGGCACCGUUGCUAGAUUUAGAGAACUUAGUCUACUUUUGGUAAUGAUGUUAAGAAUACCCAACAAGCAUUUUUGGCGUCGUUGCCGGGGAAGGUUGAUUACUAAUCAGGAAUGGAAUAAAAGAUUUUGAGUUAUCAUUCGCAUCACUAAUAUGAUUGAGCUUAUCUAUUCUCUCAUACAGGUUUACCCCGAUAUUUUUCUAUUUUAUCUUAUGCAGGGGAAUGUAUGAAUAGAAGACAUCUUCCAGGAAAUUUUGUUGACAAUCCUGAAGCAUUAUUCAAGAAGACGAGAGCCAAGCUAAAGAAAUCAUCAACACUUCACGAAGAAGCUUCAUCCAAUCAAGAAGAUCACCGGAACUUGUCUUCAGAGUUCGAAGCCAUGGCGAACAAAUCAAUCCGCGAGUUCUCAGCUCCACUACGGACAACAUCCGCACUGGACCUGCUGCAGAGAUCGAUGGCAACUUUGAGCUCAAGCCUGGACUUAUCAACAUGGUGCAAUCCAACCAGUUCUGUGGGAAGGCACACGAAGAUGCUAGUGCUCAUUUACAACACUUCCUGGAGAUUUGCAACACAUUCACCAUAGCAGGAGUUUCCAAAGACGCUAUACUACUUCGCCUCUUCCCAUUCUCACUGUUAGGAAGAGCGAAGCAGUGGUUCUACGCUACAAAGGAGAAGAAUACUACGUGGGCACUCUGCUCAACAAACUUCCUGGCAAAGUUCUUUCCCAUGGGCAAGACCAAUGCUCUCCGUGGGAAGAUUACAAGUUUUUAGCAACAAAAUGAUGAAUCUGUUCCAGAAGCAUGGGAGUGCUUUCAAGACUACAUCCUAGAAUGUCCCCAUCAUGUAAUGGAGAGUUGGCUAUUGAUGCAGACGUUUUAUCACGGGCUCGGCAAUAGUGCCCGAGAAACCAUGGAUGCUGCAGCUGGAGGAGCAUUCUUAUCACUUACUAUACCACAAGCCACAGCUCUUGUGGAGAAGAUGGCGUCCAACCAAAGCUGGAAUGAAGAGAGGACCCAGACACGCAAGAGAGAUGGAGGUAUGCAUGAGCUGAAGGAGGUAGACAUGCUGUCUGCAAAGCUAGACCUGCUCAUGAAGAAUCUCGAUGAUAGAGCUGGAGACAAGAAAGAAGUUAUGCACAUCUACGACUCUCACAUGACUUGUGAGGAGUGUGGAGACACUGGACACUCAGGCAACCACUGCCCUGAGAUACUUGAGGAUGUAAACUACAUCAACAACAACAACAACAACAACAACAACUACAACCGUCUUCAACAAAAUCAAGGUUGGAAUCAACAGAGGCCUAACUACUCAGGUAAUUAUCAAGGUAACAAUUCUUACAACAAUAAUGCUAAUAAUUUUCCACCUUUGAGAGAGUUAGUGUCUAAUCAAGGCAAGCUAAUGGAUAAUCUAUCUAAGAAAUUGGCAUCAAAUGAUAAAAUGCUAGAAAAUAUAAAUAAUAGAAUGGAUAAUUUCUCUACUGCCAUCAAGAAUCAAAUUAGCUUUAAUAAAAUGAUUGAAUCUCAGUUAAAUCAAAUAGCUGCUGCUGUUCCUACUACUAACCCCGGUAUACCAUCACAACCGGAAGGAUUAGAAUCUGCAAAUCUUGUAGACAUGUUUGAUGCAGGUAAUUGGAGUAACCCCGUCACUGAAUUUUCUACUGACCUUCUGUCGGUCAAGAGAGGCGAUCCAGGACGCCCCGUCAUCCCGAUCUCCAUCGGCAUGGUGGAUGUUCCAGAAGCACUCUGUCUACACAGACUUUGAAGUUGUUGACAUGGGAGAAGACGAGUAUGAUCCACCCAUCAUCCUUGGAAGGCCGUUCCUCAGCACCGUUAAAGCAAUUAUCUACAUUGGAACCGGAGAAGUCCAUAUGCACUUCCCCUCAGAGAAGGUACGCCGUUAUUUUACUGACCCUAACUAUAUCGUUGAAGAAUCUAAGCAGGUCAGAAAGAGACGCAACCGCAACUAGAGGAGGCAGAUCAUCAAGGACGGAUGGGCAGACUAUGAAGGAGAAGUUGUAAGGUCAGAAGACGUAGAGUUUAAACAGAAUUAUCCAGAGGAGAUUGAAGCACCGAGUCAGGGAUGGAAAAUGAAGAUAACUAUACAAGAAGAGGAGGCGCUGCCGGAAGUACCGACUACGCCACCCAACGAACCUCAGGACGAUUAAGAAAUUGGAGAGUCCCGUUCGGAGGACUUAAAAACACCGAACGCCUUGCCAAGAGGUAAACUUGGUAGUUACCCUUUCCUUCUCAAUUAUUUCAAAUAGUUUAUUUAGUUAAAUAUGUUCAUGCUAUCCUAAAAAGAAAAUAAAAAUAUGAAAAACAGUAAGCCCCAUGUGAGUAUGCGAGUGGCAUAAAACCAAUAAGUACAUUCACUGUGGUGGCAUAAAAAUAAAAUAAAUAUUUUUCUGCUUUAUAAAAUAAAAAUAUAAAAACAGGGAUUAAUAAUUAUUAAGGAGUCUCAAGAUGAUGAAGGCUAUAUGUUUAUGCUAACACUUAAUUAGUUCCACAAGCUUUGUUGUCUAUUUGAGCUCCACAGAAUUUAAGAAGACUAGCAGACGGAGGACAUUCUAAUCGCUGUCAGAAUGCUGCUGACUUUCAACUACACCUCUGCCACCUGCUAGCUACAUCAAGAGAAAUUACGUCAAAAUUCAGCUUGGGGGAGAGCACCCCCAUUUAUCUCGAUAAGUAUUUUUAUCUAUCUUUAUACUUAUAUUAUUUUAGAAUAUUAAAAUACAUAAACUAUGGGAAAACCAAAUAAAGAUUUUAAGCUUAUAUAUAUAUAUCUUUUGCUUAGUGUGUUUAAUAAAUAAAUAAAGUGGCUAUGCUAAUCUGUAUCUAAAUAAAACUUAAGCAUGGAUAUGAUAAAUAGUUGCUCUGCCUAAUUUUAAAAUUUUAAGUUCUCUCUCAAGUUUAGACAUAACUGUUAUAAUUUAAAGCUUGCUCUAGACCUAAACUUGUGGGAUGAAAACUUGAUCUGAAGUCUAUGUUGUUAACGGAUACGAUAUGGGAAGGUUGAGCUGCUGUUUAUCUGUUCCUAGAGAUGCUAGAAUUCUAGAGAAUUUUAUCUUUGAAAAUCUUUAAAAUGUUGCAUGAUGAGUUCCUGUAUGAUGAGAGCUUAAAAAUUCCUACCACAGCCGUAUAUACAUGUUUGCUAGACUUUGAGUCACACAUUUACUAUUUACUGCUUAUGAGCAUUGAGUGUGGUCAAGCUGUGUAGACCCUUAGGAGCUUGUCAUGUGGUUAAAUCAAGAUUUCACUUGCACGUUCACUCAUAUAUGCUACUUCUACUCCGGAAGUACCAUCCGCAUAUAUCCAUCCAUUCCAUCUCCAGAACCACCUAAAAAUAUUCUACUCCUAAUUCGGGAGAGAAUAGCCAAAAACAUCUGUGUUUUUCCCUUGUGAAAUAAAUGCUCAAGUUAUCUUGCUACUACCACUUGCUAUAUUAUCUCAAGAGAUGAGUGCUCUUUAAAAAAAAAAGAAAAAAUAAUACGAGGAAAUAAAAAGGAGCAAGUGCUCGGAACCUCGAAAGAAAAGAAAAAGUGAGACGAGAGGUAAAAAUGGACAAGUGUCCGACAGUAGAAUUAGGGGUGCAAGAUACCCACCUGAGAGAAAAGAAAAAGAAGAGCAUCUCAUUCUCCUCAUAAAGUUUCAAAAGCAAGGAAGGUAUGUGUCCCCUCAAAAGAGCAAAAGUAGAAUUAGACUUCCACCACCAUUGUUUUCACCAUUGUUAUCUCCAUCAUCACCAUACACCAUUCAUUCGCCACACAUGCACAUCUUGAUUAAACUUAUUGACUUGUUACUUUGGAUCCAUGGUUUGACUAUGCAAUAAAUGUCUUGUAAGUAUGUAUACUUUAUCUCCCACCUAUGAGCUCCAGAUAUUAAAGCCUUAUUAGAGUAGGGUGAGAGAGAAGGUAAUGUCACUAUGCCUCAUACCACAAAUACCACAUAUCUUGAGAGAAGGCAUAUACCAUCAAUGCCUUGGUAAGGAUCCAGAAAUACCACAAAAGAGAGACCUGAGAGAAUCAUACAAGGAAUCUCUGAGUUUUAUUUGAAAAUCUGCAAAAAUCCCAGAGCUAUAGCUGAUCAAGAAUAAGAGACAUGGCACUUGGCUAGACUGUUCUAUCUUUUAACCACUCAAGACAGAAGUGACGGUUACAAGUCCCAUGGUGGAGGUAAAGUAAGUAAGUUUUAAGUCUUGACAGUUUACUCUAACUUAGAGAUGAGAUCUUAUUUAAAAAGCAUGUGUACCGUCAAUUUUUUUAAAUAUUGCAACAACUUAUGAUCCAUAGCUAAGUCUAGCCUUGCUCAGGGACGAGCAAGAGGUAAGCUUGGGGGAGUUUGUUGACAGUCCUUAAGUAUCAAAUUUAAUUAUCAAAUAAAUAAAGAAAAGGAUCCAAAUGGAAUCAAGAUCUAGACUUAGGGUUUUAUCUGACAGAAUUCCACGAGUUUUGGUGUUUGUCUAUUUCUGCAGGGGGUUAUCAGGAAAUAUGGAAGAAAGGCUCACAUGUCAGGAUUACGUAAAGAUAUUAACGUGCUGCGCAAUUAUCUUACAUCUAGAAGACUCCAGAAGCCACGAGACCGAAGCGAAGGCGAAACGGGGCCAGACCCUGGGCGGCCGCCCAGUUGGUCAGGGCGCCCGCCCACCCCCUGUGUCCAAUCAGGACUCUGCUUUGCGGGAAGUCUCCACCGACCUAAAGGAUGAAUCUAAACCAUACAAUCUAUGUUGGUUUGAUCCAAGGGCCCAUAUUCACUUGAAGGGACUAUAAAACCAGACCCCCUGGCCCCUGGAGGAGAGAGCCUCUCAACCCUAAUUCAUUGUUCCAUCAAUGGAGAAGAAGCCUCUGAUCAAGAUUAGAGCCACCACAUCAAUUAGAUAUCUAGAUUAGCAUAACUACAUAGGAUUAGAACUAGAAGGAGUCAAUCUUCGAUUGGUUUCUGGAUCUGUCAGGAGGAUUCUUGGUAAUUCUCUAAUUGUGCUUCUAAUUGCUUUCUAAUUAUCUUUGUUCU
rnacentral:lncRNA from 1 species